rnacentral:lncRNA from 1 species
UAAAUAAGAAAUGUAAUUUUGAUCCAUUUUCAACUACAAUUCCAAGUUUAGAACACUUCUCUUUAGGAAAUAAUUUCGAGUGUUUCAAGUCGACGGAGAAGGCUUCAGAUGAACUUUUGGAGGCACUGCAAGAUGAUAAUUGUUGUAUGAUAGGAUUGUACGGUAGGCGUGACUCUGGUAAAACUACGUUGGUGAAAGUAAUGGAACAGAAAGUCCAAUAUUUGAAUAUUUUUGAUGAGAUUUUAUUUGUCAAUGUGACCAAAAACCCAAAUAUCACAGCAAUGCAAGAUGAAAUUGCUGACUUCUUGAAUAUAAGAUUAGAUAGAAACAGUGAAACUGGAAGAGCAAGAAAAAUAUUAUCCACAAUAGAAGAUAUGGAUCGUCCAAUACUUGUGAUCUUUGAUGAUGUUCGGGCAAAAUUUGACCUACGGGAUGUAGGAAUUCCUUGUAAUAGUAAUCUAUGCAAGGUUCUUUUGACCGCACGUCGCCAAAAAUAUUGCGACUUAAUGCACUGUCAAAGGGAGAUUCUACUUGAUCCAUUAUCUACAGAGGAAGCUUCGACUUUGUUUGAAAAACAUUCGGGAAUUCUAGAAGAGGAUCACUCCUCCUCAUUUGACUUAUUCAAUGUGGCACGUGAAGUUGCUUUUGAAUGUGAUGGGUUACCAGGAAGAAUCAUUAAGGAAGGGUCUUUCUUAAGAAGUAAAUCAUUGGAGGAAUGGGAAAAAUCACUACACAAUUUGAGACAUUCAACAGCUCAAUGGCAGAUGUUUCUCAGUUUUAGAGGGGAAGAUACUCGCUACUCUUUUACAGGUAGUCUUUUUCAAGCUUUAUCCCAAGGGGGAUUCAAGACUUUCAUGGAUGAUGAAGGACUGCACACUGGGGACCGAGUUUCACCUUGUCUUAGAAAUGCAAUUGAAGCAUCAAGACUUUCGAUUAUUGUUUUGUCUGAAAACUAUGCAAAUUCCACAUGGUGUCUUGAUGAACUUGUGAAGAUUCUUGAAUGUAAGAAAUGGAAUAAUCAAUUAGUUUGGCCAAUCUUUUACAAAGUAGAGCCAUCAGACAUAAGGCAUUUGAGAAAAAGUUAUGGCAAAGACAUGGCUCAACAUGAAAGAAGAUUUGGAAUAGACUCGGAGAGAGUACAAAAAUGGAAGUCUGCUUUGCUUGAAGUUUCUAAUUUGUCCGGAAUGACUUACACGACUGGGUUUGAAUAUGAAUUUAUUCAAAAGAUCGUGGAAGAUGCCAAUCAUAUUAAAAGUCGUUUGCAAAUACAAAGCAUAUAGAUUUGGGUUAGAUACGUAGAUAGAAGAUGCCAAUCAUAUUGAAAAUUGAUUUGCUUGGCAAUCGUUUUUGGAUUUUGGAACGAUCCAACAGUGGUCCUUUUUAUUUUUUAUUUUUUUAUUUUUAUGUAAAUUUGCUUUGUAAGUUGUGUAUUUUUCCUUUGUAGUCUCUCUUUUGUAACUUGAUUGAAUCUUGUAAGUCAAUAGAUUUACCAAAUUGUCCAUUCAGAGAGAAUAUAUUGACCCUUAAUGUUUAAUAAUCCACCUCUGGUUUUACAGUUCUAGUUAAACAUUGCUGAUUUAUUUAAGUAAGUUUAGACAAAACAAACAAUAUUUCUAUUCCAAAGAAAUUAUCAGCUUUACAUACACUCCAUUUACAUAAAAUUCCAAGUCCAUAGAGUAUAUAUACAAAAAAAACAAGUAGUACAGAAAUGCUCAAGUUUACUUGCUUUUAUGACACUUAAGUAAUGCCUGUAGCAGACAUGACAUGAAUCUCUUAGGGUGUCAUAAGCAUGCUCCUGAGCUCAUGUUUGUUCUUAUCAACGCAUCCUGAGCUUAUCAAAGAGGUUAUCCAGAUACCAUCGGCCUUAAUUGACUCAUCAUUAUCAUUCCUAUGCCAACUCCAGAAGGCAUGAGUUGAGUUUACAAUUUUCAGCUCACCAUGACCAAAACUGGCUUCACGAAAUUCUGACCACUUUGGUUGUGGAUUUAUGUACCUGUAAACAACAAUGAUGUAAGGAUACAGGCUGCGUGCAUGCCGAUAAACAAUCUUAAUAGUUAUAUGGACAGGUUUCAGACAGUAACCAAUUCAGAUAACAAAUUUUUAUAAUGUGUCUGGCAGAUAUUACUUGCCUAUGAGCUAAGCCUUCUCGGUUUCCACCAUCACCAAUAGUUAUAUGGACAGCGCCACAAGGAUCCAAUCUUCCAUUAUACACACGUUUCUGUCAAUCAGAUAAAGCACCACUUAAGACCAAAUUUCCAUUAAAUUGUGCUUAGAAAUUAAAAUAAAGGCUAAAAUAUAAAAGGCCUACCGAACGUUCAUAAGCAUGAACAUGUCCAGCAAGAACUAAAUCAACACUGGCAGCAUACAGCAAUGGCUCCAUGACUGUCAUCAUAUCAUCCCCUGCACCUUGGUGAGCCUUGUUACUAUUAUACCACGGCACGUGAAAUAACACAACCAGCCAAGGUGUCCUUUUCCUGUCCACCUUGGACAGAUCUUCCUAUAGAUGAGAAAUGAAGAAAACUUAAAGAGACAGUAAACGUGUCUAAAGAAAAGAACGGCACAAUAGAUUUCUCGUCCAUGUUUGUAUCAAAAUUCAAAGGCCUGUUUGGAUUGACUUAUUUGAGUUUAUCUACUCGCACAAACACUUGUGAGACUGUUUGGUAGAGUUUAUGGAAAGAGCUUGUGACUUUUCAUAAGUUGUUUCAGCAAAUUUCCAUAAGCUUUCCAAGAUAGCUUAUGAAAGCAGCUUAUAACUUAUAUGAAAAACAAUUUGGCUUAUUUUAUCUUUUGUCAAAGAAAUAACAUACGCAUAAGCACUUAUAUGACAGGAGCUCAUGCUAUAAGCACAUAAUUAAGUUGUUUAUCCAAACAGAACCCUAGUCUAAGCCUUUAGCACAUGUAUGAUGCAUCCCAUUAUACUUAUCGAAAUAUACGGCGAUUGACUAACCUUUAGCCAUCUGUAUUGCUCCGAGUACUUAUCAUAAUCUGCAUAAGACCCUAGCAUGAUAACAUGAACACCUGCAACUUCAAAUGAAUAAUAGAGAUUUGAAGUUGAUCCACUUUCCUCAAACGGCAUUUUCCAUCUAGAAUUAUACGAUACAAAUUCAUCGGUUAACAAUGGUAUAUUUUCCUCUUCAUGAUUUCCUUCUGUUACCAUCCACGGCCUCGCACUAGCAAGCGGCUCCACAAGCCUACCAAACGAGUCCCAAAGAUGCUGCAUACAAUCAGCAUAUGAAAGAUCACCCGGAAGAAGGUAAACAUCAUAUUUACAUUGAUCAAUGUGAUCCAAUGUUGAUUUAGUCCAACCAGUUUGACCAAGAUCGCCGGCCACAGCAAAAGUAAUUGGAAAUUUAGAUGGAGGAGUUUUGAGCUUGAACUCGGGACCUUGUCCGCCGCAUCGAUAAAAAUACAUGGUAUUAUAUUCCAAAGGUCCAAUUACAGUAUGGUGUAUCUUUCCUGAGCUAUAUAACAUAUAAUUAUAAGAGGUGAACUCUCCUUCAGAUAUUGAAUCAUAUCUACCAGGUAAUGUUCCAUAUUCUACAAAUGAAGGUGAGUGUUUGUCAUCAGUUAUCCAUGUAAUUCUCAUGUGUCUGUCUCCUGCCAAAGAUAUAUGUACCUGAAAUAUCACAACUAUGUUAUGCUCAAACCAAGACAACCAUUCUGCUUAGAUGUACGGAAACAGUCCCAAAAUGAAUGCUUAUUUGUUCAUGUUUGGAUUUUUAUGAGUGUCUAUAUUUGAAAUGUUGGAAUUAUGUUUGGAUUCUAUGUACACAAACAGUUCAUAGUGACUUAACUCAAAAACAAAAACUGAAACAUAACUUAGAUUUGAAAUACAAAACUCAUAACUGAAAUUCAUAUAACUGCUUUUGGUUUUUGAAAAUUUCAAAACGCAAGACAGAAAACCACUCAAGAUUUUGUAGUCUAAGAAUCUGAAAUUUAAUAGGUACCAUAAAUAAAUAAAUAAACAUACAUAGAGUGUUAGCACAAUUGCUUCUUUAAUAUUUUUAAAUUAAUCAUAAUAAAAAAAUAAUGGUUUUAUUAUAAGCUAGUUUUAGUAGCUUCUGAAUUUUUUUUCAUAUUUUGGUAAAAAAAUAAAUAAAAAAUCUCAUUUAAAUGUGUGUUAGCUGGGAGAAUUAUUAAAAAAGUACUUUUAUUAUUACAAACAAUCACAUACUAUAUCAUAAGUUCUAGCUUGACUCCCCUAAAAAAAAGUUCUAGACAAAAAUAUGGAAAUUAUAGAUAACUUGUAUAAUUUCUUCUAACAAUAACUUGUAUUUUAAUUUUAAACAAAUGACUGUAGAUAAUAUAAGCAAUUAAACAAUAGUUACUUAAUUAACAAUUCCAGAUUCAAAAAAAAAUAACAAAGACAAAUACAGAAGAAACUAAUAAUAAUAAUAGGAUUGAUGAAAAGUAGAGAAAGAGAGUUUGACCUGUUGAGGGUAAGGUUGGGAUUUAGAAUCCCAUGGCCAUGGAAUGUUUAAGUUUUUUCUUGGCAAAGGGCGAACAUAUUGAUCAGCAGUGACGGUCGAAGAGAGAAGCAUUAUUAGAUUAAUAAUAAGAAGAAGAAUGAAUUUGAGUUCCAUGGUGAUGAUGUCAAAGUUGGGGUGUAACAGUAACUGGUGGAAGGAAGGAAGAGGACGACAACAAAGUACUUCCACUUCCGAUCUUAUAGUUUUAUCAUCAUCUUAAUGAUGAUGUCACCACAUUCUUGUCCUGCGUGUCGCCAACUCCUUGUUUUUAUUGCUUUACCCGUAAAAACAAAACAAAAAAUAUAGUACCAUUUUUUAAUAAUUUUUUUUUUUUAGGAUAUUUUGUAAUAAUUUAAUAGCUAGGAAUUCAUCUCAAUUUCAACCCUUACAUCGUUUUAGCAAUUUCACAUUUCUUUUUUUUGUUUUGUUUUGUAAAUAAACAAAUUAAUGCAUUUUAUUAGUUGAAUGAUAUCAAAUACAUGACAAAACAUCAUCAUAAAUAUUGGGCUAAGGUCAAACGAAAAUAUUAGUAUCGGGUUUCUUAUAUACCUUUUGUUUUUAAACAAUUAUUUUUUAAUCAAAUUAUGUUUCAUAUACUCGGUCCCCCUAGCUUUAAAUUCCCGCCUCCGCUCCUGUUCACUAUCAUCAUCUACCCUUGCAUGAAAGGAAUCCAUGAUAUGAUGUGAAUCUAAUACAAAGUCUACAUAUCCAUAUUUGAAACAGCAUAUAAAUGUUUAUUAUAUACCGGUACACAAGCUAUAAGAUAAUAUCUUUUUGGUUCUAUGAAUAUUUGAACUUUUUGUUUCAGUCUUUUUAAAUUUUUUGAUUGACUUUUAGUGUUAAAAUGUUUUUUUUUUUUUUGAGAACAGUGUUAAAAUGUUUUACAUCUUUAUUUCUGGUCUAUCCUUAUAAUAGCUCAUUUGGAUUUGUGUUGAAUAUUUCUAUAAUCACACAGAAAAGUGAAGCAAGGAUUUGGAGAGUUUAAAUUUUGCAGUGAAAAUGCCUAGAAACGUGUGAUCAAACGUGCAUCUAUGGUUAGAAAUGGGAAACCAAACACAUACUAUGUAAAUUCAUAAGUAUAAUUCGUAUUUGUGAAUAAAUUUUUGCAGUUUUUUGUAAUAAUAUUAUAAAAAUCUCUAAAAAGAAAAUUAGAUUGUUUUAACAAAACAUUAAUUAAAUAUGAAUUUUUAUAUUUUUUGCGGUUUUUAUUCAUAUACAAUUCUUGUUUUGAUAAAAGAUUCAACUUUUUUUUAAGAGAUUUUAACAAUAUUCCGCACAAUUUCAUCAAAAAAUAUAAGUGUACACACGAGUUGAUUUAAAAAUGAAAUAAGUUUUUUUUGUCAUAUAACAUAGUGGUUAAAACCGACACCUGCUAACUGAGCUAUAGCCAAGAGCGUAAUAAAAAAAUUAUUUAUUUUUGUCUCGUAACCUAGUGGCUAGAAUUCACCUUAUAAGGUGAAUAAAUUGGGUGUCCAGGUUCGAACCCCGGCCCCUGCAUAUAAUAAUGCAUUGUCCUACUAACUGAGCUAUGCUCACGGGACAAACAAAAAUAUUUUUACUACACUAAAAUAUCAAUUAAUUCAUUUUAGAAAUAUUAUUAUUAUUAUUAUUAUUAUUAUUAUUAUUAUUAUUAUUAUUAUUAUAAGCACAUUCAACCAUUGUAAAAAAUAUAGGGUUAAUAAGUUUUUACCUCCUGUAAUAUAUGUCAUUUCUGAUUUUCUCCCUGUAAAAUUUUGAUUUUGAUUCAACCCCCUGUAAAAUAUUUUUGUUUUGAUUUACCCCCUAAUAGGCCAAACAAAAACCAAUUUUAUUUUAUUUUUCAAGAAAUUUUCGUUUUUGUUAAAAAUAUUUUACAGAGGGGUGAAUCAAAAUAAAAAUUUUACAAGGGAAAACCGGAAAUGACCUAUAUUAUAGGGGGUAAAACCUAUUAACCCAAAAAUAUAUAAUCAUAAUUUAUCUUGAAGAAACCCAAAUAAAGUAUUUUAACCCGAACCCAAAUUAAAUAUGCUACAAACAUUUUUAGUCCUAGUUUUAAAAAUCGGACCGGUCAUCAAACCGAUGAGAGUACUGGGUCACAAGUUGAACCAGUAGGUCAUUGGUCAAACCGUAAGACUGAAUCGAAUUAAACUGGACGACUCGAUUAUAUAACUCGGUCUCAAAUACAAUAAAACUCACCCCUUAAAAAAACACUAACGAAUUCAAAUCAUAUCAUACACUAAAAUUCUUAGUAACAACACGUUCCAAUCAAUUUUACUUUUGUAUCUUUUUCCCUAUUUAAUUUAAUAUCAUUUUUCUGUAUAUAUAUAACACAAGUGUGCUUUAUUCGUAUAAAAAAAAAAAUAUUUGUGUGUUUUAUAUUUUUACAAAGAGAUUCCUUAAAAAAAAAACAAAGAUAAAUAUAUAUGGGCUGUUAUUUAAAAAAAAAAAAAUAUAUGGGUUGUAUCUCAAAAAAGAAGAUUUAUGGGACAAUAUAACAACUUCCUAUCAAGUGUAUUUAUCUAGAGCUGCCGUUUGUUUUUCCUUUCUUUACAUCUUCUUCUCUGUUUCGCCAUUUCUAUCAAUCCAGAUCCGUUUUUUUUUCGCCUCCUCAUCUUACUAGUAUUGACCUGGCCGGUUUGUAGAAACCCCCGGUUACCGGUUUUUUCCAGUUUUCAGCGGUUUACACCGGGUCAUGCCGGUUUAACUGCAUAACCGAUCCAAUAGUUGGACCGAACCGGUCACCCUCCGGUUCCUGGUCCAACCGGUUUUUAAAACACUGUUUUUAAUACGGUAAAUUCUAUGGUACACCCAAUAAAUUUGGGUGUAUCGUUACACCAAGUCAUAAAAUUAAUAAUAAAUGAGUUGUUUUUUUUGAAGAAAAAUAAUUAUUUUCUAUCAUUGACAACUAAGAUAAUUAAAUUUUAUAUACCAAAAGCUUCGAUGAAAUAAAAUUUAAUUUUAAAGAAUUUUUACUACUCAUAACGAUGAAUAUUGAUUAUUUUUUAUGAUAAAAUGUAAAUUUUGUAAUAUGAUCCUUAUAAACAAUGAAAUGAUGGUUUUUCUUAUGAAAUGAUGUUUUCCAAAAUAUAAAUAUUGACAAAUACAUUUUUAUUUCAUUAAAGUAAUCUUUAAUUUAUAUAUUUUAUGAAACAAGAGUACCGGGACACUCAAAAUUGUGAGUGUACCAUAAAAGUUCCCUUUUAAUACACCCAUUUAUAUUUUUUUUGUAUAUAAAAGUCGAAAUUGUUUGUGAGAUGAACGACGUCGUUUUGGUUGGCGGUUAGAAAUACAAAACCCUAAACCCUACUGCGUAACAUCACACUUCUCUUUCCCUACCUCUGCCUCUCUUCAACCUCGCCCUGAACCAAAACGAAGAAGAAGAGCACGAGGCCACAAAACCCUAACCAUAACCUCUCAAUUUGUUCAUCUCAAAACUCUAGCAAUGGCAACUUCCUUAGCUUCUCAAUUACAAGCUAUCAGAUCCAUAGCACUUACUGAUUCCGCACCUCAAAAGCGACCGUUCACUCGUCCUUCUAUCUUGUUCGAUCCUAAAGAAGCUGCUGAUAAGAGUACUGAAUCCAUUUACACCAUUGCUGCUCAAGGUAAUUUCAUUUUUCACAAUUUUUAUUUAUUUUUUGCUAUUUUUCAUAAGCUUACUUGAAUAAACUGAAUGAAUUCGAUUGUUGAAUUGAAUUUGAAUAUGAAUUGUAUAUUUGGCUGUGCUUCAGGAUUGGAGGUUCUGAUUAGCACCGAUGAACGGUUUAGGAAUUAUAAGAAUAGUUUGUUCAGUCCCAAGAGUAAAGAAUUGGAUAGAGGAUUAAAGACAGAAGACGAGAAUAAACAACUUAAUUCUUUGAUUAAUCCGUACUUGAGAUUAAUUUCUGGAUAUUUUAAUCUUCCGGCUGCUCUUCAAACACUCGAGUAUUUGAUACGUGUAUACAAGUGAGAACUCUAUUUGAUGAUUUGUUUUGUUUUUUUUUACUGUGAUUGUGUUCUGUGGUUUUUGGUUUUUGAUUUGAUUUGUUAUGUGUUUCAGAAUACAUGAGCACAAUGUUGAGGAUUUGAUUUUGUGUUCAUUGCCUUACCACGACACACAUGCAUUUGUUCGUGUAGUACAGAUACUUAAGAUACGGUUAGAAAAAUAUGAUUGUUUGUUACUUUCUUUGGUUGUGUUGUGAAUUGUAAUGGUUUUUUGAUGUAUUUAUUGGUUUCUGUUAAGGAAUCGUAUAUGGGAGUUUCUUAAGGGUGUGAAAGACUCGGGUGCAACACUACCUAGAAUGGUUGUAGUGCAACAAUGUCUUCGAGAUGGUGGUGAAUUAUUAAAAUCUUUAUGCGACUAUGUGAGUAAAAAUACCCGUGUGUUUAGCUGUGAAUUUGACAGAUGUUUAAGUUAAUUAAAUAAUAAGAUAACUAUGUUUUUUGUUGCAGGCAUCUCCAUCCAAAAAUCCUUCAAGGAAUGUAAUUGGCUUUUGUACCGCUGUUGUUGUUGAAGUUUUGGGUGUGAGGGUGGAUGAAGAUAUUGUCAAAAUAAUACAUCCUUUCGUGAAUUCUGGUCUUCAGCCUGAUAAGAAGGAUCUUUCAGAUCACAAGGUUAGAUUAAAACUUAUAUAUAUAUGUAUGUAAUAUAUAUGUAUCUAUGUAUGUAUAUGGGCAUCAUUUGGUGGUUUAUUUGACGACCUUUUGCUUAGUUGGUCCCUCUUACUCUGAAAUGGGUGGACCAUGUGAAAUGAAUUCACCUUUUUCCUUUUUGCCCCUCAUGUCAAGAUCAAUUGAUAUGUUAAUAUUCAUUUUUGUUAAGAAAAGAAGUGCGAUUCACUGUAAUAUAUAGACAUUCUCAUGUUAUAUAGACUGUGAUUUGUUCAAUCGAUUAAUUGCAUGAUUUUGCGGUUGAUUAUAUGACUUUUUAAGUCAUCAAACACCGGAAUAGCAAUACCACACAAGUAUAUAAUAACCAAAUCCACAUAGUUGGAUAAUGCUGAGAGGUUGUUGCUUUGCUGAGUAUAUUUCCUGUACAAUUUAUGCUAUGAAGGUCAUUCCUUACAUUAUUUAUUGUUACCCUUUAUUUUUAAUCGCAAUAGAAAUGAAAUUUAUUCACUAAUAUUAAAGAAAUAUUAGUGAGGACGAAACUCUCUUUAAAAGAACAUGCACUUAGCACCAAACAAAGACCACAAACCAACCGUUUCUCAAACACACAUGUUUAAGGAAAUAUAUCUCUAUUUAAGACUUUUCUCCCGUCAAAUAGACCAAAGAACAUCAUUCACUGUGUACCGCUUUAAACUUGUUAUUCUAUAUCUAUCACCUUGCUUUUUGGACUAAGUUUCUGCUUGCAAACUUCCCAUUAGGAAGGUCUAUGUUAGUAAAGCUUGGAGGUAUAGCUGGGCAUAACUGUAAUUGAUUUAAUUCAGGAUCACCAAUCUUGUUCUUAGAUUCUGUUUCAGAUGUUACAUUUUUUUGUUUCAUAUAUAUUAUAUAAUUGUAAUUGACGUUAUAUUAUAUAUAUAUAUAUUUUAAGUAUGUUUGUGCCACCUUCUGUUGAACUAUUGUCAUUUCAGGCCAGUUCAUUGAUGAUAGUUUGCUUGCUUGGACAUAAAACAACAUUAGCUCCAUCACUUUUGAAUGGUUUGAUACGUUCAGUUGCCGGGAUUGCUCGUGCUUGUGAGGAGGCUAAAGAUCUUCAUUGGUUUCGGUUGUCACUUAUUGCCUUAAUCAAUCUUGUCCAGGUACUAUGCUGUGACAGAAUUUUUAAUUUUUUCUGUUUGAUUAAUGGUAUUGAACCUAUUUUCUUGUUGUGUCAUGCCUAUUUUUUUUAACUUGGCUAUACUUUCAUUCUUUGUUGUGUUUGAAUUUUCCUAGUCCCAAAAUGUGGACACACUUCCAACGAAGGCCUUGGAUGUUUUAAAGAAACUAAGGUAGUCUAUCUCAAACUACUCAACUUUUUGAUGAUCCUUGUAGUUUCACUGUUGCCAUUUGUUUUUAAUAUGUAUAUGCAUGACUUAUGAAUCCUUUUUCUUAUAGGGAUUUGCCUGGAGUUUUAUUAGAAUUGUCUAAGGAGUUCAACAUUGAAAAGUUUCUCGUUGUUCUGUUGGACUCCCUAAUUAUCUGCAGGUGAUAAUUCUAUGAUUCUCUUUCUGGUGAUCAAUGCUCAGUAUACUAUUAAAAACUUGUGCUUUGUGCUGAUUAUAACAUUCACAGUUCUAAGGAUGAAGACUGCCAGCAGGCUUUGCUGUCCUUGAUAGAAAAGGUCCCCAUAAAUGACUCUGUUCAUCAUGUGGUUACCAAGAUCCUAUCAACUUGUGUGAAACUAUCAGAAAAAGUUGGUGACUCAACAUCUUCAAUGUCAGGUAUGUAUUGUGAUAGUUCAGAGAAUUUGAGAACGAGAGAAAUUUAAAAAGAAUGGAAAUGGAUCUGAUGAAGGGAACUGUUUUUUAUACUAGUGUGACUGCUCUAAUUAACAACUGACUUAGUUUUGACCACUGUACACAGCUCAGUUCUUGGCUUAACGACCAAACUAUAUAGUUAAUGCAAUAGUUGUAACCUGGUCAAAUAUCAUUUGAUGCCUAGCUUAUUAUCCUCACAACUCUUUUUUUCUUUCAAAUGUCAAUUAGCUGGAUGGGCAAAAGAGAUUCUGAAAAUUGUUGAUAUGAAGUAUCCUUCUGAACUCCGUGCAGCAGUUCAUCAUUUUCUUCAGGUGUGCUGAAGAACUUUACGCUUUUCUUUGUUAGCAAAUUAUUCUUAGAAAGUCUGAAUUGUCUGAACUCUGAACUUGUUCAACUUCAGCAGCAUAACACAGCACAUUCUAAGAAAGACAAUUCAUUGUAUAAGAUUUUAUGUAAGAUGUUGGAUGGCAAUUUGGAUUCAUCAUCUGAUAUCUCGAAGUCAAAAGUUUGGUUUGGCUUGUAUCAUCCAAAGGUACCACACACUGACUUUCUAUUGAAUAUUCACUGUCUAUUAUCCUGAAGUGUGUAUUCUCUUGUUCAAUGUUCCUCUAUUUUCUGUUAGUACGUACUAGCUUCAUUCUUAUUUGAUAAUGUUGUAGGCUGAUAUUAGACGUACUACACUGCUUGAUAUAAAUUCUUCGGGGAUCUUGAAAAACAAGGCAUUUGUUUCAGAGGUAUCUAUGCUUUUCUACUUUUUCCCUCUCCUCCCAAAAUACUGAUUUAUAUUUUCAUGUGUGAGACUGUUUUAAGACCAUCCUCGACAGUUAUCCUAUGGGCUGAAAAGUUUAUUUAUUUUUUGCUAAAUUUGGUUAAUUACCUAUGUUGAAGAUACUUUACAAUAAUCUCUGAUCAUGGGGCAUAUUGAUUAAAAGUUCUUGCCUAUUUUUGAUUAUAUUUUUUCCGAAAAGGUUGCUUCACAUUUUUUUUACUGUGUUUUUGUUUAAAACUGUUCUUCUAUAUGUUGAGUUCCAUUUCAAAUGAUUUGAACUGAUUAUAUUUGUAAUCUAAUAUGUAUAUUGUUGACUAGAGAGAGUGUUAAAGCCAUUCCACAUAAUCGUUGGGUUGGGGGUUAUUUGAUUUUGAUAGAAGACUUGAUUAGGAGGUACAAAGUAGGGGGGGUUAUGGACUCCCUUGUUCAAAGUUUUGAAAAAUUGAAUUUGUGAUAUAACUUUUUUAAAGCUAGUAUUUUCAAUUUGAGAAAAAGAUUGUGAUUUCUGUUUUUCUGAUACGAGAGUCUGAGCUGAUUUGAAGUUGACAUGGGGUAAUCUUCAUAAAUUGGUCAAAGCUUUAGUUGUGUUGGAUGGAUGCUACUAGUUGUUUUGUGUGCUUUUACAUACGAGAAUAUGUAAAAUUGCUUAUGUUAUGAUCUUUUUGCCAUUAUUAUUGUGCAUAACCGAUUCCUAUUCCAUAUUUUAAAUCCCCAACCAUUUAACUAUUCCGUUCUACCCAAAAUGUUUUGUUGAUUAGGGUCUUAUUGACAUCCUAGAGGCCAUAUUGAGACAGUUUGAUGAUGAAGAUCUAACAGUUGUUCAAGCAGCUUUAAAUGUCGAUGGCGUGGAAAAUGUACCAGAUUCUUCUAAGCUUCUCGAGGCACUGCAAAAUGUGCUAAGAAGAUGUGUUGGCAAGAUGCUGUCUGGUAAGUGUGGUAUAUUAAAAAUAAUUUGGUAGAAAUUCAUCUUCCUCUUUUGUUUAAAUGUUACAUUAAAGCGCAAACAAACAUACAUGUUAUGUUCCAAAGUGAAUAUGGUGACUGGUAAACGAUAGCAAUACAAGUAAAAGCAUGCAUUCUGUAAUAAAGAAGAUAGACAGUACACUUACCGAUUGACUUCUGAUCAGCUGUUGGGAAUAUGUUUAUUUUUCUCGGAAUGUACUCUUGUUGGAUGAUAACUGUUAGUGUGGUAUAUUCAUAGAGUUUGAUUAGCUCUUCUGAGCUUACAUUUUUUCCUGUUCUUUUUGAUGAAUGUCUGGUCGUCCAAUUCUAUUAUUUUAUAUCAAAUUGUUUAUCGUGAAAUAUAUAGCCUUAAACCCAUAUAUUAUAUUUUUCUGAGAUAAUCUGUUGUUUAAUUAGUACCAAAUUGAUGACUGCGGUGUGAAAUUAAACCCAUCUUAGAUUUUACAGUUAAUUACAAAGAGAGGUAGUGCCUUCAUUAGAAUGGAAGAAAAAAAGACAAUCAAUUCAGUAAAGCUCUUGCUUUUUGCCUCUGAACUUUGUUAUGCUGCUUUAAUUUUUCUGAGAAAUAAAUGAUUGUUGGACCAAGGCCCAAUGUAGUUAAGCUCUUGCUUUUUACCUCUGAAAUUUUUAUUUUAUUAAUAUUCCCUAACAAAACCCAAAGGAAGUUACGAAACAAUUGACAUGUAACAUUAGGAGAAAAACAAUCAAUUUUUUUGCUACAUCUCAGUUAUACUUUUCAAUUUUUAUAAUUACUUUGGGAAAAAACGCCUCAUCUUAGAAUUUGAUUUAGGCCUAAAUAUAAAUUGGGCCUGCCCUGCAUACAAUUGGUGAUUUAUUUUUCAAAUUCUCUUAUGCAGGUUCAACCGAUAAUGUUAGUCUUACUUGCGAAGUUGCUGUCAGUUGUCUAAAGAAAGCCAUAUCAUACUUCCAUGAUCAGAAAUUGAAAAGCAUCGCUGCCAUGAUUUAUCCAUUACUCCUUGCUAUGCCACAGGUUGCACUGGACUGGACUUCAUAUUUAAUCUUUAUUCUUGAAAAGAAAGAUUUAACAUAUUCCUGACUUCGUGUUCUUACUUAAUUGUUGCAUUCAGAUUUAUGCUUUGUCUUGGUGAUUUACACCUGACAAUUACUUCUCUUAUUGCAGACACAAGACUUAAAUUUAAAAGCUCUGGUACUAGUCAAAGAAAUUAACUGGCAACUUUAUGAUAAUAUUGCUGAAGAAACGGUAAGUAACUACAUGGGAUUCAGUUUGUAAUAUUUUUGCAUUAUAAUGUAUACUUAUAUAUUGGAAAAACCGAAGUCUGUUAGAAAAGCCAAGUUUGUCAUAUAUUGAUUAAUUUGUAUUGAAAACACCAACGUCUGUUGUUCAAAAAGUUAAGUUUGUCAAAUUGAUGAGAUAGUAUCGGCCGAGAUGAAUAUAGAAUCAGUCAGGAAGUCCAGUAGACUUUGAAAAAACAAAACUUCAAAAAUUGGAAGUUUACAUUUUUUUUUCCUGACAUACUAUAAGUUUGACUGUAGAAAUGGCCGAAUAGGACCCUGUCGAGUACCACGAGUAUCUUGAUGUUUUGGCUUCCACUAACUUCUAAAUUGUUAAUUACAGCCAGUCAUCAUUACAUUUCAAUUCACUAAUUCUUAAAGUUCAAUCGCAGACAUCGAUACCUGGAUGUUUAUCUUCAAUUAACUUGAAGGUUAUCGAAAAAUUGGCUGGCAAUUUCAUGGUCCACCAUGAAGAUAAUAUAGAUUGGUUUGUUAAAAGCUGCAAUGAUACAAAAUUGUCAAAGACGCUCUUCUUUUUUGUUCUAUUGCAGUCUCUUGUGCUGAUAAAACCAAAAGGUUUGUUUUCUGUCAUUCUGAAUCCCAUUUUUUCUCAAAUAGUACAUAACGACACAAACAAAUGGAUUAGUUAGGUCAUAUUUGUUUUUUAAAAACGGGGUUAGAGAAUGAUGAAUGCUGACUUUCUAUUUUGAUCAAAGGUGAUAAUGACUUUUCUGCACUGUUUGAAAGUGUGUUUCCUAUUCUGAAGGCUGAGUGGGAAUCUUCAGUGAAUGCUGGUGAUGUUCUUUUGGACGAGGUACGGGGAUAUCUCAUAUGGUUUCUUUUAUUUCUCUUAUUUUUUCACUUUCUGGUGAAAAAUAACCUUUUUUGUUUGUUUUGGAAUUGUUUGUAGUUCAAUUCUGAAGUGUUAGACUUAAACUCGGACUGUAGUGCAUUCUUUGAUCAGCUUUUGUAUGCCAAACUCGGACCUCUAAAUGCAAAAGUUAUGUCUUGCAUAUUUUGGAGGCUGAUUAAAGCACUAGUGUCAGAAAAAUCUUCAGGCAAUCUACUGGUUAGUACUUCCUUCCGUAUUUGUUUGGAAUUCAAUUUUGUCUUAUUGGAGUUGUCGCAAAUAUAGUCAGUACAUAGUUAGCUAUGUACCUAGGUAAUGUCAUAAUGCACUUAGGAAUCAGCAAUAUCAUUAACUUGCAAAUGUAAACUAUGUUUAUGUUUAUGUUUAUUGCUAAAAGUGAAUAAGCAGAGGAAAUUUCUCAUAUAUCCUCUUAUGUUCUUCAAAUGUUGUUAGCCUCCCUCUGUGCACUGUUUGUUGCCUAGUUGGACGAAUGAACCUUUUGCAAUAUGCAGGAUGAUAGCAAGAUAAAGGAUCUGUUUGUAUUUUUUGCUUUGUCAAAGUUCGGAAAUGCUUUCCAUGAACACCUCCAUUUCUUAGCAGCACAGUUCAGAUCUGCCCACCUAUUAUCCAAGUUUUUUACAGACGAAGGUACACUGUACUGUUUCCCCGUUGCUUGAUGUACUCCAUAUCUUAAAUGGGACAACACUGUUUACAUGUACUGAGAAUUUCUUACUUUUGAGAUAGAAUAUACUGUUUCUUUGUAAAUGUCAAGAUCUCACAUCAUACAUAAUCAGUACAUUUAAAUAAAUUAUUUGUUUAACUACGAAUUUAAGCUUUAUGUUGCUCUUAUUUUCCAGGUGACAUGUUCUAUAAUUAACAUUUUAUGGUUCUGAAGCAUUGCACAUUGGCUUGAUUCUUUUUUGAAUCUUUUCCUGUGUAGGUGUUCCUGCUGUAGUCCAAGUUGAAAGUCUGCAGUGCUAUGGAUCUCUUUGUACUCUGCAGCAAAAUGAAUGUCAAACUGAUCUUUUGGCUGAAUUUCCUUCUCUUCUUGUUCCAUUGGCCAGUGAUGAUAAGGUACGAGUCUGUGUGUAUAUUUUAUCCUUAUCUGCUUGCUGCAUAUAUAUAUGGUUGUGGACAAAUGGUUAUCUUGUUUUGUAUUUCUUAUGCUACUUAAUCAUAUGAUGGAUGUUCUCUUGAUUUUUGAGGAAAUCUGGUUUGCUCAAAUGAUAUAUGUUCUUCUUUUGAAAUUCUUUGCAGUCUGUAAGGGAUGCUUCCUUGGAGUGUAUUGUUAAGUUACACGCCUUGUGGGGUCGUAUUGAACAUGGUAUUUCAUUGUCAGAAUAGAUGUAUUUAAUUACCCUUUAUGCCUAAUUAUUUUCUACCUUCAUAACUUCCUAAACUGGUUACAACAGGGUUCCAGUUUCUGGAUGAACUUCUAACUGCGUUGGUUCAGAUAAAAAAACUUAUAUUGUCUGACAAGAAAAUUCUCUCAGCGUUGUUCACGUCCUCACUGGGGUCCACACCGGGCUCGUCCUAUCAUAAUAUCCUAUUACCUCCAAAUAUGCAAAACAGGUAUAUAAUGUUACUGGGACUAUUUCAUCUGAAUGGCUCCACUUUAUCACAACACAACUAUUUGAUAUGUUACUGGGACUAUUUCAUCUGAAUGGCUCCACUUUAUAUCACAACACAACUAUUUGAUAUGUUCACUUGCUUAGCUGCUUCUGUUAUUGGAAUUUGCCAGAUCUUUCAAAUGUGUAGAGGGGGAAUUUGGAUAGGUCUUUUUUUUAUUUCCUUAUAAUGUGUAAAAUAUUGACAUAGAUUGUGUGUCCUGGCUUUUUAAAGUAUUUGAGCUGUUGCUUCGAUUCGCUAAGAAAGUAUAGAUUAGGGUUUAGGGAUAUUCUGUGGUGAUCGACUCCAUAUUAAUCAAUGCAAAUUUAUAUGACAUGUUUGAUAUCUUUCUAUGCUAAUUAUACUUUUUUCAUUUUUGGUCCACUUUUUUUUGCUUUAACUUGAGUAUAUCUUAUUAAGUUUGUUUGUGUAAUUUUAAUUGAUAAAUUAUUUAAAUAUUUUAUAUGAUUUCAGACUCUUGCCAAUAAUAAAAUAGGAUGUAUCAUUUUAUCUCUCUCUCUCUCUCUCUCUCUCUCUCUCUCUCUCUCCCACUUGCAUGUUAAAACUUAUUGUAGAGUUAAAACUUAAACGAUUAAUUAAAUUUUAUUUCCUAAAAUAAUAGCGAAUUUGUUGAAGGGUAAUUUCCUAAAGUAAUGGCAUUUUGUUGAAGGUUAAUUUUGACCGGAAGAAAAGCCACACCAAAAAAAUGUAUCCUCUUUAUCAAUACUUAGACUCAAAGUGAACAUUCAUUUGUAUUUACUUCAGAGAUUUUUACCUGCUUUAUUUUUGGACAUAAUUUUCAGGUUUGCUAAAAAAGAAGAAAUACUUGAGUUCAUUUUGGGUUAUACUGAGAAAUUCUCCAACUACGGGAAGGUUUGACGCCUUCACAUUGAUUCUCUUCUAUGUUUCUGUUAAUAUGAUUUUAAUUGUGGUAAUAGCAAUACAGUUUGUAGUUUUGUUUCAUUUCCAGAUUUAAUAGCUUUAGUGUGUGGGUUGUUAUGCAAAGCCAAUAUUGUAAGAAAGUAUCUUAUCUUUGGGCAUUGAUUUCUAUGGCAGCUAAUGAUUCUCUCCUUGCUCAAGGGAAUUGGGAAUCCUAUUAUAAUGCAUCCUAAAAUUGCAUCAAUGCUGUCUAAUUUAAUGGAGAGAUACUAUGAUAAACACGGCAAUUCUUUCCAGAAAUUUUCGAACACUGAAACUAGGAUACUGUGUCUUUUGUUGGAGGUGAGUGUACUUCAAUAUUAUGUCUUAGCUCUGAUGAAACUUCCAAUCUGAGGUUUGGUGAGCUAAUUCCUUUUCUCCAUGUAGAACUGUGUAAUGUCUUCUCCUUCAGGUGGAGAUGAUCUUCAAAACUCUUUACUGAAAGUGUUGCAGGUGAGAUAUGUAGCUACAUGCUUUUCAUAUGUCAUUCCCUUGCUUGUUAUUUUGAAUUUACUAACCUUGGUCAUUGCCUUUUUCAGUUGGAUGGCAUGACUUCAGACAACCCUGCUUAUGUAGAGCCUUGCAUCACUGUCUUGAAAAAGCUUAAUAGUCAAUUCUACACGGGCUUGCAGGAUAAAGCAAAGGUCUUAUUUGCAUCAAUUAUUUAUUUCUAGAGUCUGUUCUCUUUCAUGAUAAGUAGACAUGUACAAUCUCUUGGUGUGAUGAAUUAAGAUGAAUUUUUAAUUUGUUAAAUGAAAUUUUUUUAUUACCAAUAGUCUCUACUGUAACCUAAAUAAACUAUUGAUUUUUUCUUGUAUGUCAGGAGCAAUUAUUUCUUGCACUUGUGUUUUUGUGCCGCAAUGCUAUUGAAUUAUGAUUUUUUAAUUUGUUAAAUGACUUUUUUUUAUUACCAAUAGUCUCUAGUGUGACCUAAACUAUUGAUUUUUUCUUGCAUGUCAGGAGCAAUUAUGUCUUGCACUUGUGUUUCUGUGCCGUAAUGCUAAUGGUGAUGUACAAAUUGCAACUAGAGAGGCCUUGAUGCGUAUAAAUGUGAGUUUCUUGCUUUUGGUUAUUUUUUAUCCAACAUGUCUUGUCUCAAUUAAGGUUCUUUUGUUUGUUUUCCACUUUGGUGCCUGUUUUGUAUUUCUUUAGUGGUUCUUGCAAUCUAAAAAGAAGACAGCAAAAUACAGCUCUUAACUACUAUAGAAAAGUGCGGCACCCACACAAUCAUCUCAAUGUUUUUCUAAAUGGACCUCAUUUGCUUAAACUAUAUUUAUACUAGAGUGCUGUAGACAUAGUCCUACCCUAAAAUAAUCCAAUUGCAGACAAGUUCUUCAACCAAUGCCCUUAGGGUGACAAUCGACGUAGACUGCGCAUUGCAACAAAUUCUUUUGCCUUCAAUUUUUAGAUCAAGCAUUUAGAAACUAUUUCAAAGCAGGGCACCUCUAGAGCUUGCUCAUGAAGGGCCCCAAGUAGUGCCAUGAGAACACCGCUCGGGCAACGACCCGGAAAGAAUCAAUUUUAGUCUUUAUGGAUAAUACCUGAUCAAUUUCCUUUUCUAGUACCCUACCCCCAGGGGAGUCGAAUCCCCGUUGCCUCCUUGAAAGAGAGAUGUCCUAAGCACUAGAUGAUGGAGUCAUAUGGCAGUGAGACUUAAGAGACCAAGGCCAUCCAGAAGGGUAAUUAGGGUCUGCUGCUGAACCAGAUAUCCCGCCCCUUACGACCUGUAAUCGAUAUCCCCAAAGAAUGAAAGAAGGGCAGAAGUGAAUAGUUGGUUGGGAUGCUACGAGUUCAUUCCUGUCCGAUAAUGUAGCGACAAGGUCAUUCCUUACUCAUAAGAGACCCCGCUCACUGCCACCGCUGUGAGGGGCGCUUUAACAUGCAAAAAUGCUUUACCGGAUCCAGCUAUGCAAAUCGCGGAAGAGCGUGACGUCCAUAAACUAAGAUUUAUUAGAAGGUGCAGCGUUCAAACAACCUUCUCUUGGUUCCGCUUCUAAACUCAAGGAAGGCCUCUAAAGAGAGGGAACUCAUAGUUCUUUUCUAAGCCUUCAGAGAGGCAGCGCAGGUGAAUAUGCGGCUCCGUACUGGGGAGAUGGAGAUUGUUAAGAGUUUAGCAGGCCGAGGAAAAAGGGCGAUUUAGACCCUCUAAGACUAUACUUCUUUGAAGUGAAUGGGUGCUUCCAGUUCCUUUAGCAAGACAUCUAUAAUAACAUCUUCCUUAGUCCGGAUAAGGACUAAUAAAGUAGUAAAUCAUUAUCAUCAAUUUUACAGAGUAUGGUUAUUCUGACAAAUCAAUUGACUAUGGUGAUUUUGAACUUCCAAAUAUGUUUUCGUAGAGGAAGUCUGAGAUGGCUUGGACGAUGAGUAAAAAUAUAACUGAAUAUUAAUGAAAUGUGAAAAUAUGCCGGGAAAAUUGGGUUGACAAUAACAUGUAAAUGUUGGGAACUAUACAUCAUGAGAAAUUGGUAGAUCUUAUAUUUAGCCAUGCUAUUCUUGGAUUAUGUUAGUUUUCAUUUUGGACAAUGCCUGUUUUUCUGGUAUUAUAUUUUAAAUGUGAUAAAUAAUGUUACAUCAUUCCUUCUGUCAACUGCGCCUGCCAACUAUUAAUUUUUAAAAUGAAAUAUUAGGAUAAAUGUUUUCUUUUGAAAAUCUUUACAGUUAACAUUUAAUGAUUUAAAGUCCGUGUUCGCUCAAUGACCAUAACAUUUUGGGUUGAUGCGUUGCGUUUUUUUGCAUUAUGGAUUUUAUUUUCAGUUUGUUUUUUUCAUGCUUCCAUUUCAAAGAAUGAACUGAGAAUAAUUGGUAGUUUUAUAGAACUUCCAUUUCAAAGAAUGAACUAAGGAUAAUUGGUGUUUUAAUGGAAUUGCAGAUAGAUUUCAAAACUGUUGGCCGCAUACUUGACCCCAUAAUUGCCCCAAAGUAUGGCAAAAUUAGGUCAGCAGAUGAAAAGUUAAAAAAGAGACAGAAAUUGACAACACAUCAUGAAGAAGAACUUGAUGACAUAUGCAGAAUAGAUAAUCUGGUCGACAGUCUUAGUUCCCUUCUUGAUGUUUUGUUACUGAAGAAAGACAUAGCAAACAGGUAAUUUGGUUAUUACGUUAGUACCAUGCCAGAAAAGUUGGACACAUCAUUUCGUUGUGCUAAAUUUGCCGUUUGAUUCUUGCAGGCAUUCUCUCUUAGACCCUUUAUUUAAACUUCUUGGCAUGGUAUUUUCAGAAGAAUGGGUAAAUUACACUCUUUCCCUUGAGGAAGGAUCAUCCCAACCGCCAUCAAGUCUUUUCGAAACUGUAAAUCAUAUUCAACAGACUCUAUUGAUUAUCCUGGAGGAUAUAAUCAUGUCUCAUGAUAGCAUGGCUGUGCUAAAUGUAUGCUUUCUACACGUGAAGCUGUAAUAUUUUAUAUAGUAAUGGAAAAUUUAUACUACCUCUUCACUCUUUUUUCUGCUUCUUUUUAUUAAUUUUUCACUCGUGACAGGAAAAAAUGACUAAUGAGAUUAAUAUUAAGCUACUGAUAGACUGUGCCCGGACUACCGAUGUUGUUGUCACCCGCAACCAUAUAUUUUCUCUGCUUUCUGCUGUCAUUAGAGUCUUACCAGAAAAAGUGUUUGGGCAUCUAAUUGAUAUUCUUCCAGUUAUUGGAAAAUCAGCUGUCACACAGGUUUGUAAAUGCUCUCGCUUACCCCAUCUUUUGGUUUCCCUGCUUUUUUUCAAUCCUUGAUUUUCAUGGUUGGGUCCACAUUAAAUCUUCCAACUUAUGUAAACUUUUACUUGCAAGUUUUGAGUUUUGAAUAUUCAAAAUAACCAUGUAUCACCACUUAUGUGUUUAUGUACGUGUAGAUCGACAGUCAUUCAAAGCAUGUAUUUGAGGAUCUUAUAUCUGCGAUUGUUCCUUGUUGGCUGUCUAAGACAGAUGAUGUGGAGAAAUUACUGAAGGUUGGUUUUUCAAGACAAUACUUUUGGGCUUUCAUGACUCUCCGACACGAGUGGAAGUAACUUAGUAGAUCAAUCUUCUGAUAUUUUUUUUUCUUGAUUCAGGUUUUCAUAGAUAUAUUUCCUGAAAUUGUUGAGCACAGAAGGCUAUCAAUUGUUUUAUAUCUCCUACGGUAAUUUAUACAUGAUUAUCCUAGUAUUGUAACUUAACCAUUUUUUUAUGAUCUGCGUCUUACAUUGGUGACUAUUUUGCAGAACUUUGGGCGAGGGUAAAAAAUGCUUGGCCUCAUUACUUAGAUUGUUGUUCUCUUCCUUAGUUUCAAGGAACGUCACCUAUUUUCUCAAUAUUGAGACGCCAGAUGCUUUAACAUUAUGUACUAUAGAGUGGGAAUAUAAAUUAGCAGUGCAGAUUUGUGAACAGUAUGCAAGUAUGACUUGGCUUCCUUCUUUAGUUUCCUUUUAUGAACAGAGAGGAAACAAAAAUGUUGACCAGUCAAUGUUUCUGGAGUUGUUUCUGGCAAUGCGCUUUUGUUUGCAGAAGUUGCAAGAUCCUGAAUUGUUGUUCAAACUAGAAUCAGGAGUAGACUCUGUUGUCAUUCAGGUAUUAUCCUGAUCACAAAUUAUGCAACAAAGUUUUAUGCCUUUUAAUUUCUUACUUUGUUCAAUUAUAUUGGGCAAAGUCUUGAUGGUAGUUAAAUCAUGAUUUUUUUUUAAACGCAUCAGUGUUGAAUGACCACUGCAAAUUAAUGGUAGUAGAUGUGGUAGCUUAUCUCAUCAACAUAAUCGAGAGAUUGAUAUCUCAUAGUUGAUAAAAUGUGAUGGAUUGCAUGGUGAAAUUGUUACACCCUUCGGUCACUAUUGUAGGUAAAGCUUUGUUCUUUAGGUUCAUUCAAUAAAUGAUGCAUGCGGUCUAUAUUAUAGACCACAUUCAUCGCUUAUUCAAUGAACCAAAAAUGUGAGUUUUUGCUUAUAAUAGUGUCCAGAGGUGUAACUUUUAGCAAGGUACUCGUCUUUCUUUGGCUAAUAUUAAUGCUGAAGCAGUCUUGGCAUUAUGAACUGAAAUAUUUAAUGUACAUCUAAUUGUUAGAUUUUUCUUUGUAUUUUUUUUUCUUUUCUGUGAUGCUCUUUUUGGUUACUCAGUGUGAUAUCGGUGGUCUUGCAUGCUUUUAUUUGAUUGAAUGUUCUAUUCUUUGAUUAGUCUGUUAACAUUUAUGUUCAUUCCAACCAAAAGAUUCAUAUUCUUAUUCAAAAUGUAUGUGAUGGGGCAUUAAUAUUGCAGAGUCAACUCAGAGAGCUUAUGGAACAUGUUGUUUUCCUCUUGCAUCUUGUAGAUGCAAGAAAAAAGGAACUAAAUUUCCCUGUCAUCAUGAGGAAAGAGUUGAAGGAAACUAUGCGCGCUGUUGUGAGGAAUAUAACAAUGGUCAUGAUUCCUUCAAUAUACUUCAAGUGCAUAAUUAAUUUGCUCCAUCAUUCAGAUAAAGAUGUUGGAGAAAAGGUAUGAUUUUUUUAUGAGAUUAUUCCAAAUAUAUGAAAAUUUAUUUAAAGCUUGCAUUAUUGAGAUAAUAUGUGAACCUGUCUUUAUUCUUGUCCUAGUUUUAGACACCAGGACAUUGGAUUUAGGAUAUAUAUUGCUUUAUAUUAGGUAUUAAAACAAGAUCAUAGUUCACAUAAUUUAUCUAUGCCAUUGGAUCUACUAUAUAUAGGGAAAGUUCUAUUUUAGUUAGUUUGUAAUAAAUACAUAUCUUGGUAAACAAAUUAAGAGUUUGGAAGCAAGACAUUGGUAACUGUUAUCUGAUAUUGCAUUGCGUGUACUCCAGGCUCUUGGGCUGUUAUGUGAUGCUGCAAGAAAUCACGCAACAGUCAGCUUAACGUCUAAAGGCAACAAAGGUUCAAGGUCAAGAUCAAGUUCUCGUUGGCUUCAAUUGGAUGAAAGUUCUCAAGAAUCACUUGAUAAUAUGUGUGUAGAAAUUUGUAAAGUACUUGAUGACGAUUCAUCAAGUAACUCCUUGAAAAUGGCAGCAGUUUCAGCGUUGGAAGUUCUUGCAGAAAGGUUCCCUUCGAAUAGUUCCACCUUUGUUGUAUGCCUUGAAUCUAUUAUUACAAGAUGCAAUACAUCUCAGAACUCUGCCAUGACUUCUAGUUGCCUUCGAACCUCUUCUGCGUUGAUCAAAGUUCUUGGUCCAAAAGCACUGUCUAAACUUGAUCAAAUCAUGGCCGUGAUAAAGUCCUCUAAGGAUUUGGAACCAAAAGCUAAUGAUGUUUCCCCAGCCUCAAAUGCACCCCAUCUUGUUUCUGUUCUUGUUACUUUGGAGGCAGUUGUUGACAAACUUGGUGGAUUCCUAACUAAAGAUCUAAAAAAUAUCAUGGAGCUUCUGGUGCUUCGUCCGGAAUAUGUCUCAGGAAUAGAUGCCAAAGUGGAAUCCCGAGCUCAUGGAUUACGAAAGCUUCUUGCGGAAAAAAUUCCAGUAAGGCUUGCUAAAAGUAUGUAUUGUUUGAUGGAGGUAGUGUGAAAUGAGUACCUAUUUUUCUAACUUAACAUCAUUUUAUUACAGGUACGGCUUGCCCUGCCGCCAUUGAUAGAACUAUACCCUGCUGCUGUUGAGGCUGGGGAUACAAGCUUAACAAUUUUGUUUGAUAUGUUGGCAACAUUUAUUGGUACAAUGGACAGAUCAUCUAUUGUGGCAUUCCAUGGAAGGAUUUUUGACUUUUGUUUGGUUGCUCUUGAUCUUCGUGGAAGUCCUCAUUCAGUUCAAAACAUUGAUUUAGUGGAAGAAGGUGUGAAGAAUGCUAUGCUGGCACUGACCCUAAAACUUACAGAGAGCAUGUUCAAGCCUCUUUUUAUAAGGAGUAUUGAGUGGCUUGUCGAUGAAACUGUAUCUUCAGGAAGCAUGGAUAGGGCCAUAUCUUUCUAUGGCAUGGUAAAUAAGCUUGCUGAGAACCAUCGGUAAGUCAUUGCCUAAUGUUUUAUAUUCCUUGUUAGAUAAUGUUAUUUGAAAUAAGCGUGCUUUAUGAGGUUAUGAAAGUCAAAAGACACUUUGUUUAGGCAUCUCUAGAUUUUGUUUUUGGUAUUUUGUUUUUCAUUCUUAGGAGAAUAGUUUAUAAAGUAGUGUAUUGAAUUGAACAUAUUUAUGUCAAUUCUUGUCACAGUUGCGAUGCAAUUUGCUCACAAUAUAUAUUGAAAAUUUAAACAUGGGUAUAUAAUUUAUUAUUAUGACAUUUUUUUUGGAAAUAAUAAUCAUACCAUAUCCUUUUCUUAUUUCUAGGUCAUUGUUUGUUCCUUACUUCAAAUACUUGCUUAGUAGCUGUGUUCAUCAUCUUGGCGAUGGCGGAUACCUUAAAUUGUUUAGUUCGAGUCAGAAGAAAAAGAAGGCUAAGAUUUUGGGUGACGGCGAUGUAAAAGAAACAGAUGUCUUGUCUAUCAAGGGCUGGCAUCUCAGGACACUGGUCUUGUCAUCCUUACACAAGUGUUUCCUCUAUGACACCGGGAGCCCAAAGUUUCUUGACUCGUCAAAUUUCCAGGCUAGUAUAUUUUUCCAUUGCACUAUUUAUUUUAAAAAUAUGGAGUUGUCAUUAAAAUCUUGCCAAUAUUUGUUUCAUGUUGUUUGAAUGACCCUUUUCAUCGAGUGAAUUUUUGUCAUCUUAGUUUGUGAAGUUUUCCAUUCCAUCUAAUAUUACUUUGGAUGUUAUCUUCAUUUUUUCUAUCUACCUUAUAAAUAAAUAUUCAUUUUAAACAGCGAGCCUCAGCAGUGAUUUUGCUUGUCACAUAUCACUUCACUGACUUUCAUAUGAUGCUUGUUGCAGAUGUUGUUGAAACCUAUUGUUUCUCAACUUGACCUAGACCCACCUGCUUCCUUAGAUGACCACAUGAAUAUACCUAGCGUGAAUGAAUUUGAUGACCUACUUGUUGUUUGCAUCGGUCAAAUGGCGGUCACAGCUGGCUCAGACCUUUUGUGGCAAUCUCUGAACCACGAAGUAUAAUUUGUGAUAUUUUCCUAUUCUCCUAUUUUGAGUAACACUUAAGUAAUCAUGUUAAGUUAUUGCCAUCCUCAUGCAGCUUACAAUUUUUUUGCCUUAAUUUUCUUUUGCAGGUUUUGAUGCAGACACGUACCGAGAAGACGCGAGUUAGAAUAUUGGGCCUUAGAAUUGUUAAAUACCUUGUAGAUAACUUGAAAGAAGAAUAUUUAGUGUUAGAUGAAACAAUUCCCAUCCUCGGUGAACUGCUUGAGGAUGUGGAACUUUCAGUUAAAUCUCUUGCACAAGAAAUUCUGCAGGAAAUGGAGUCUUUGAGUGGGAAGAGCCUUUGAGACUGCCUAUGAUGUUAGAUUCGUUGAGCUAGAAUUGUGUAAUCAUAUAGGAAAUUUAUUGUGUAGACCAAUGAACAUAUUAUGGUCAUUUAAAGGAAAGGUGGCAUUUUUGAUACUGAUAAAAGUUUAAAGUUCAAUUAUUUUCUUGUGUAAUUUCAAGUUUAUUUUUUCUUCCACAAGUGCCGAUCAUUAAAAGCGUGAAUCCUUUUUAAAUGGAAUCAGAGAUCAGAUUUAUUACCGAUUAAUUUAAACCAAGUCUCGUUAUAUCUCAUGGCAUUUCUUUUAUGAAUACAGUCACUUUGCUAGUCUUCAAACUAUCUUUCUUUCACCAAUUUAUUUUCCGAACUUUUCUAAUAAACUAAAAUGUUCUUAACCUAUGGAAGAUACCUCAAUUAAUGGCUUAUGAAAAACAACAAUAUUCUGUUAGCUGAGGGACUAAAUAGUUAGAUGUGAGAAUAGUUCGGAGGUUUUUAAUAGCCUUGGGAUGAUUAAAUCAGUGAGAGUAAAUUGACUGUUUAAUAUUGAUUUUACUUUUAUUAUAGUAUCUUGUAUCCAGUCUCCAUUAAUACAUUGAAAAUGAUAUUAUUUUUUUCGAUCUCUUGUGGACGGAGAAAUUGUAUGUUUGUUGAUUUCGUGCAUUACCGGAUCUGUUUAAAAGAUACCUGAAUUACGCAAGAAACAUUAGAUAUAACGAGAUUUAGUUUACCAAAAAAAUACUAAUUAGUACCAGUUUAGACUAAAAUAAAAUACCCUGUGUACCAAAAAUGUCCUAUUUUUUUAGCAGAUAAACAAAAUAACAAUAACAACUUAAUUUUGGAAGUAAAGAGUUGGGAUUCAAACUUCGAUCAUAACAUCUGAUCUAGUAAUUUCAACAUUUUGUAGAUAAUAUUCCCUCACUAAUGUCAUUACUAGAUGUGUCAAUGAUAAUUAAUAGUGAUAAGGAAUGAAGAGCCUAGGUCAGACGUUAAAUUAAUUGAUAGUGUAGUAGGAGUACUAAGUAAUAGUUUUGUUCCUUUUUACAGAGAAUAAUAGUUUAGUUUUAAUUAGUCUUCUACCUGUCUCAUAUGGCGGUAUGCCUAAAACCAUGGUCAGCAUGAACAUGUACAUGAUGAUCACGAACAUCUGCUUUACGAUGUUUUUCUGAGUUUUAGAGGAUCCGACACCCGACUCGGCUUCACAGGAAAUCUCUUUGACGUUUGUGCUGGGAAAGGUUCAAAACCUUCAUGGAUAACGAUGAACUCAUGAGUGUGCCUACCGAAUUAUAGCCUCUAUUUUCAAAGCACUGGAAAGGUGAGGAUUGCAAUUGUUAUUUUGUCCAGAAGUUAUGCAGCUUCUACAUAUUGUCUUGAUGAACUUGUCGACAUACCUGAGUCAUGAGUGUAAGAGACGAAAAACCAAGUUGUUUUCCCAAUCUUUAAUGAUGUCGAUCCUUCAGAGUAUAGGAUUAAGAACUCAACGAGGUUGAAAAAACGGCCUUCAUUUUAAAAUAGAGGCUUAAAAACCAACAUAUUAAAUUUAAGGAAAAAAUGUUUUAAUUUUUUUUUUUGGUUGUUGAAAAUAUGACCUUUUUAAAAUUUGUUUUAAAAUAUGUCUUUAGUCCUAUAAAUUAUAAAUUUUUAGGUUAAGCUCUUAACAAAAAAAAAUCAAUUUUUGUCUUGAUAAGUGUUUUUAGUCUAGGAUUUAAUCCCUAUAAAAAAAAUGGUUAAAUAUAUUUUUGGUCUCUAUAAAUAUGUCAACUUUUCGCUUUAGUCCCUCUAUAAAAUUUCUUCAAUUUUUAGUCCUCCAAAAAUAUUUCAUCUUCACUUUUGAUCUAUCCUUUAAAGUAAACUCAUAUGUAGAAUUCAUAUUUUUGAAUAAAACUUUCGAGAAAAAUAUAUAAUAUUAUAAGAAUCUCUCCAAAAAAAUUAGAUUUUAUUUUACCAAUACAUGAAUUAUAUAUGAAUUUUUAUAUUUUUGACGAUAAAAAAUCAUAUUUAAUUUAUGUUUUGUUAAAAAAUUUUAAUUUUCUUUUGAGUAAAUUUUACAAUAUUCUAUACAUUUAUGCACAAUUUCAUUAAAAAAUAUAAAAAAUUCCUUAAAAGUAGGGACCAAAAGUAGUGAUUGAAAAUUUUACAGGGACUAAAAGUUGAAGGAAUUUUUUAGAGAAACUAAAACAAAAAUUGGUAUAUUUAUAGGAACCAAAAACAUAUUUAACCCUAAAAAAAGUUAAGGACUAAAAUUAAACAAAAUCUUAUGAACUUAACUUAAAAUUUGCAAGUGUUCUAGAGACUAAAAACAAAAUAAUUUGAAAAUUAGCCAAUACAUGAAAAUUAUCUUAGAGAACCAACAAAUGAUAAAAAUUGAAAAUAGUUAUUUAAAAAAUUUGGGCAAAAUGCUUUUCAAGAUCAAUUUUAUCCAUAAUUGACUGUUUACAAAAUAGAUUAAUAAUGUCUUUUAUGAUCUAAACAAAUAGGUUAUUUGCAAGAAACUCAUUUCCUAUUUAAUGUCCCUGACUAUUUUGUUGAUAAUUUUUGUUGUUGAAAAAGUUUUCUCUAUAAAUGUUGUUGAGACCAGAAGUACCAAACCGAUAAAGAUAAAUCUAUCAAUCACACAGUAAUUUUUUUUUUUUUUUUUUAAUCUUAUUUAUGCUAAUUUUCGAUAACUAAACUUGUUUGAAAUAUUUGAAUGUUUAUUAUUUGAGAGAGUGGAAUAUAAGUACAUAUCAACCAACUUUUUUUUUUUAAGGUAGCCAAGGCUACCCUUCUUCAUGAUGGGUUACUCUCCUGGGUAGGUACCUUCAAACCGAGGACAAAAUAUCACUGCUUCCUCCGUCUAGUCCAAAAGAAUGUCUCAUUUUAGUAUGUUUAUUUUACUAUAUUAACGACUAUAUUACUUUUUUUUUUCCUUUUUCAAUUUAUCUAAUUUUUUUUUUUUUUUUGUUCAAGUAGUCUAGUGGUUAGAGUUCACACAAUUAAACGUGGAGAGUGGGGUGUCCGGAGUUCGAACCCCAACCCUUGCAUAUAAUAUGCAAUAUCCCUACCAACUGAGCUAAACUCACGGAUAUUGUUUUCUUUCUAUUAACACUAAUGAAAGAUAACAUUGUAAAAUAGCAUAUAAAUCUCCCAAAUAUGAACAUCUAUGUAGCUACACCAUUUAAUUGGAUUUGUUAUUUUAAUAAACUUAAUUGCAACUUUUUUAUUGCUAAUUGGAUUUGUUAUUUUAAUCAAAAAUAACAAUUGGGUUUGGGUUGACUUAUUCCCGUUUAUAAAAAAUAAAUACACUUUCAUGAAUCAUCUAAUUUUGUCAUAUUGAUAAAAUUAUACUACUAGUAAAAGGACGGAAGGAUUAAAUAUUUGAAUUUUGGCAUAACCGAAAAGAUGCUUCUAAAAGUAGAAGUUCAGAGUUCUCUUCAUCCGAUAAAUUAAACCAAAAUAAGCGAGAACAAAAUAUUCACAUAUGAAAACUGAACUCAUAUAUUUUUUAUUGGUCAAACAAACAUACAUUAAUUAGGUCUCAACCGUAAGGACAAAAUGGAGUGUUGUUUGUUAGGCUUUAGAACUCUUGUUUAGGACUUUAUUUAUGUUUGUCAAUGUGCUCGAAUACAAUAAUAGACUUUGCUAAUUAAAAGGAUUUUUGCAUUCAUAGAUUCGAAUAUGAACUCAUCCAAAAGAUUGUGGAGUUUUUUGAACAAGCCAAAAGAUUGUGGAGUUAACAGCAAUCGCUAUGUUUUUCUAAGUUUUUGCGGGGAAGAUACUCGCUACUCCUUUACGGGAUUCCUCUAUCAUGCUUUGUGUCGUGAGGGAUUCAAGAUCUUCAUGGAUGAUGAGGGAUUGGAGGGUGGAAACCAAAUUUCACAAACUCUACUCAAAGCAAUUGAAAAAUCAAGGCUUUCAAUUGUUGUUUUGUCUGAAAAUUAUGGAGUGCAAGAAGACAAAUAAUCAAUUGGUUUAGCCAGUAUUUUACAAAAUAGAAUAAUCAGAUGUAAUAAGCUACCAAACAAAAAUUUAUGGUAAAGCCAUGAAAGCACAUGAAGACAGAUUUGGAAAGGAAUCCGAGAAUGUGCAAAAAUGGAAAUCAACUUUGUCAGAACUUGCCUUAAUGAAUACUAUAGAUUACUUUUAGAUUGCAUUAACGUUUUUAAUGAGAAACUGUUCUUGGCCAUAGACAAAUUAAAGGUAUUAUGUGUUGUUGCAGUUCUGUUUUUGGUUUUAGUGAAGUUUUGUAUUUGAUAAUCUUGUUUUAUUAAAGAUCAAGUUAUGUAAUAAAAUUUGAUUAAUAGAAUGAAGUAAAAAUGGUGUUGUGCUUUUGUAGGCACGAAUAUGAAUCCAUAAAAAAGAUAGUGGAAAGGGCCAUUGAAGCUAAAUAUCAAAUGUGAUACCAAUUAGUCCUUGCACAAAUGAUAACUAGAAGAAAUCUUCGGUAUGUAUGGUUUUUACUUCCUUCCUCGUAAAAGGUAGAGGGAGGAAGGGUCUUUUGCUCAUUUGGCACACUUGUCUCAGUAUCGUGGGAGUUAAGGAAUGGUGAUAUUUUCGCUAUUGUAAUUUUGCCUGAAUUGCAAGUAAUGGUUGAGCGCAUAAAUGUCAUAUCAUUAAAUAGUUCUUUUAGAGUUGGCAUUAUCUAUUUUUUGAACUUCAUGUGUUGUCAUGGCUUUACCAUGUAUUGGCUGAUCCAGUUGGCUCUUGAUCUUCUUGCACUUCAUAAUCUUUAAGUUUAUCAAGACACCACUUGGAAUAUCCGUAGUUUACCCAAAAAAAGCAAUUGAAAAGCCUUGAUUGUUCGAUUUCUUUGAGAAGAGUUAGUGAAACUUGGUUUCCACCAUCCAAUCCCUUAUCAUCCAUGACGAUUUUGAAUCCCUCACGAUGAAAAGCAUGAUAGAUAAUUCAUGUAAAAGAGCAACAAAUAUCCAACCUGCAAAAACUUAUAAAAACAUUGUAGCAGCGCAGGGGUUGUAUCAUUAACUCCACAAUCUAGCAUUCCAAUGGUUAUUGGUGCAUGAUCAUUCAAUAGCAUUAUUCUUCAUAUUGCAAUUGAAGAGAUAACAAGUCUGUUUGGUUCAAUGGGAAAUCGCAGAUUAAGUUUUUCUACAAUUUUAGGGAGAAAAGUAAGCUAUUUUUUUCAAGAUUUUAACACCUUUGGAUUCUAGAAUCCAAACUGAAAACAAGUGUUUUUAACGCAUUCCAUUUUUGGGAUCCAUACAUCUUAUUUCCAUGCUUCAAACCAUUCUUCUAUCAAAAAUAAAUUUCAUAUUUUUUUUAAUGAUUUUUUAGCACAAAAGAGGCUCGAGGCGCAUGUAAAUGAGGUGUUUAAAUCCAAAAAUUCGAAUGACUCGGUUUUAUAUAUUUUUAUCAAUAAAUUACUAGCAUAAGAGGGGUUGGAAGCAUGUAAAAAGAGGUGUUCAUAUUAUAAAUUUUGAAUUACUUUUAAACUACUUUUGUUCCAUUUAGAUUCUAGUAUCGAAACAUGUAGAAUUUCUGAAGAAAAACAGUUAGUCACGGUAGAAUCACAUUCAAAAUAAUCAUGGUUAUUUGUUUUUUUCUUUGGAUAUGACAGAAAAACACAUUUCAUAUUUUAUAAUAAAAAAAUUCAGACUUAAUUUUAGGUUUUUAAAGAGCCCACAAAAAGGAUGAUACUAUAAGAAAUUAUGUACUUAAAUAGCGUAGUCAAUGCCGUGGGAUGCAAUGUCUGAACAUUUUUAUUUCCCAAAUGAAAGUGGAUAGUACUUGCAACUUUAUAUUGUUUUCUUUUUGCAAAUAGCAACUUUUUAUUAUUGUUUAAUGCUAUUUGAAUUUGUUAUUCUAAUAAAGAAGAAACCAAUAUUGCUUGGGUUGGUUUCCACUACUAUACUAUAAAAAGAGUUGUUCAUAUUAUAGAAUUUAAAUUGCUUUUAAAUUACCUUUGUUACAUUCGGAUUCUAGAAUUCAAACAUGUAAGAAUUUUGAAGAAAAACAGUUAAUCCUGAUAGAACCACAUUUAACUAAAGAGAAAUGAUAUCUGUACAGCUAUUUUAUAACAACUUUUAUGACAACUUUCUCUCUCAUACUCACAUUAUAUUUCUACUUUCUCUCUCUAUUACUUUGAUUUUUGUGCCGAUGUAUACUUUUCUUUCUAAAAACAUGGUUAUCUAUUUGAUUGUCAAGCAAAUAGAUGUUCAAAUAACACUAUUCUUAACUAAAACAAUCAUGGCUAUUUUUUUUUCCUUGGAAUGACAGAGAAACACAUUUCAAAUUUUAAAAUAAAAAAUUUAGACUUAAUUUUGUACUUAUAUAGUUUAGUCAAUGUCGUGGGAUGCAAUGUCAGAACCUUUUUAUUUACCAAAUGAAAGUGAUAGUAUUUGCAACUUUUUAUUGUUUUUUUACAAAUAGCAACUUUUUAUUGUUUAAUGCUAUUUGGACUUGUUAUUCAAAUAAAGAACAAGUCAUCUUUGCUUGGGUUGACUUCUACUACUAUACGAUAAAAAGAAGUGUACAUAUUAUAGAAUUUAUAUUACUUUUGUUCCAUUCAGAUACUAGAAUCCAAACAUGUAAAAAUAUGAAGAAAAAUAGUUAGUCACGGUAGAACCACAUUUAACUAAAACAAUCAUGAUUAUUUGUUUUCUCUUUGAAAAUGACAAAAAAAAACACAUUUCAAAUUUUAAAAUAAAAAAUCCAGACAUAAUUUUGGGUUUUUAAAGAGCCAACAAAAAGGACGAGGCUAAAGAAGUUACUCCCUCCGUCCCAAAUUGUAAGAAGUUUUGGCUAUUUCACACAUAUUAAGAAAUGUAAUUAAUAUUGUAUGGGGAAGAGAAAUUAUGAGUUGUUUUACAAAAUUAUCCCUAAUAAAUGGUAUGGAAAAGAUAAAUGAAAUAAUUAAAAGAAGAGAGAGUAAUUAAUAAUUAAGGAUAUAAUAUGAAAAAUAACAUUAAUAUUUCAUUGGUAUUGUAAAGCGACAUAUAAUUUGGGACAAUUUUUUUUUUCAAAGCGACAUACAAUUUGGAACGGAGGGAGUAUGUAUUUAUAUAACUUAGUCAAUGGCACAAUGUAAGAACUUUUUUAUUUCCCAAAUGAAAGUGAUUGUACUUGCAACUUUAUAUUGUUUUCUCGCUAAUAGCAACUUUUUCUUGUUUAAUGCUACUCCAUCCCUUAAAACUGAUUCAGUUGACCUUAUUACGCAUGUCAAUGCAUAACUUUGAACUUAAAUAUUUUGAAUAAUAUAUUAGGAAAAAUUAUGAAAAUUUGAUAUUUUGAAAAUACUCAUUGAGACGAAUCUAACGACAUCUUAUAUGAUGUUAUUUAUCUUUGUACUAUAUUAGUUGAAAAAUACGGUCAAAGUUAGUUAGGUCAAAAUUAAAAAAAUUCCAAAUGGGUCAAAUAUUAAGGGACGGAGGGAGUAUUUCCUAUUUGGAUUUAGGCAUUGCUCGUGUUGACUUCUACUAUAUAUAUCUUACUAUAAAAAAAAAACGUACUUCAGCAAAAUUUUAUAAUUAUUAUCGGUUAAACUUAUAAUCUUUUUAAUUUUAUGGGUUCAAUCGUCAUUUUGUAGAAUAAAAAACUAAUUUAUUAUUUUUUGAAAAUUUAUUUAUUUUUGUUUAUCUUUUAAGUGUAACUAACUCCCUACAUGUCGUCAUUUUGCACAUUUAUCGUGAUUUUGUGUUUAUCACUUUCCAAACCUUGCUAAUUCCGUAUUUUAAUUUUGGCUUAAAUAUGAUAAUCGUCCCUGUAAUUUGGGUCAGUUUUGAUUUUCGUCCCUGUAAAAAAAGAACUUUGAAAUACUUCCCUGUAAAAAAAAAUUGUUUGAAAAAGGUCCCUGACCCCACUUCAUGUCUGACUUGGAAUGUAAUUCGCCAUGUGGCAGUUGCUGACUGUGCAACUUUUGCCACGUGGCAGUCCACGUAAUUAAAAAUUUUAAAAAUUAUUUUUUUAAAUUUAAAAAAACAUAAAAUAUUUCCGAGAAAAAAUUUGAAAAUUAAAAUUUUCGAAAACUAUAUUUUUUGACAUAAAAAAUGUUAAAAUUAUAAAUUUUGAAAAUUAAAUUUUCGAAAAAACAAUUUUUUUUUAAUUUGAAAAUUAUAUAUUAAAUUUUUUUCGAAAAUAAUGACUAUUAUAUUUUCAAAAGUUAUAAAUUUAAAAUUUUUGAAAAUAAAUUAUAAUUUAAAAAAAAAAUUCUAAUUUCUUGUUCUUUUACGAAAAUUUUAAUUUUUAAAAAAAUUAUUUUUUUUCAGAAAUUUCAGAAUAUAUUUUAUUAAAAAAAUUAAUUUUAUUUUGAAAAUUAUACAAAAAAAUAAAUCAGAAAAUUAUUUUAAAAUUUAUAUUUUGAUUUUUUCAAUUUUUUAAUUUUUUUUUCUUCAUAUUUUUUAGGUGAAUUCUAGGGUGAUGGUUCAAUUAAAUAAUUGAGAGCCAUUAGAUCAAUCAAGCACAUAGAUUCUAUUAUAGGCUAUCUGCACUAGAUCUUUUUGUAUGUUCUCUCCCAUCUUCUGCUCCCCUUUUCCCAUUCCUCAGUGACCGCAUUUACAUAAACCCAUCUCCCUUCUUCGUAUAAUUAUUUGGGAGUUCAUUGGUUGUGCAUCCUUCCAACUUUAAGAUUAUAAUGAAGAGAAUGAAGUUGUUGAGAGAGGUUUUGAUUCAUUUACGAUUUAAAAAUCCUUCAUGCUUCAUUAUUCUCAUUGAAAUUAUGAAGAUAAAAGUUUAUUUUUUAAAUUAUCAAAUCAUUAUGCAUUGAAUUUGAAUGAAAUCAAGGUGGAUUGUGAAUCAAUUUUGUUGAGAGGGGUGUUUACUUACAACAAAUUGUAACUCACAUUUGCUUAACCAAACAUGGUGAGAAGUGAUAGCGCAGAAAACCAGAAGCGGAAGCUUGUUCAGAAGCUCUGUUCAGAAGCUUGUUCAGAAGCUCUGUUCAGAAUCAGUUUUAGAAGUAGUUUCUGAUUCUAAGGUUUUGUGAAUUAUAGAGAGAAUUGAGAGAGAAGAAAAUUAUGAUGAAAUUGUAAUUGAUUCUUAUUGAUUCUACAUAUGAAAAUGUACAAAGGAGGUAGCUUAUAUACAAUAUCUAACCAAGUUUGCUUGAAGCACAAGCAAUGUAACAAACUCUAGAUCUUAUCUACUAGCCUCUAACAAACUUGUAACAAACUAAAACAAAAUGUGAUUAAUCUCUGAUUGUGAUUAUCACUAAACUAAACUUGAAUUAAAACAAACUAACAUCCUCCCUUAAUUCAAGUUUCCACUUCCUUCAUUCCAAUCAAGCUUCUGAGCUUGAUGAAUCUGUCAACCUUCAAUGCCUUAGUGAAUAUGUCUGCAAGCUGCAGCUUAGUAGAGCAAUGAACAAUCUGCAGUGCUCCCUUGUUCACUUGCUCCCUUAGAAAAUGAAACUUGGCUUCUAUAUGCUUGCUUCUUCCAUGCAGAACUGGAUUUCUUGCUAAGCUUAUAGCAGAUUUGUUGUCUAUGAGCAAUUCUAUAGGUCUGCUAACCUCUAUCUCCAUCUCCUUGAGUAUAUUUUCAAGCCAUAUUGCCUGACAUGCUGCCAUACACCCUGCAAUAUACUCAUAUUCACAGGUUCUUCAUCUUCAUUCAUCACCAAUUUUACAUUUGUCUCAGCUGGUGAUGAUGAUGGAUUGCAACUCAUCAUAUUGAACCUCUUCAAUAUGUCAGAUGCAUACUUCUUUUGGUGCAUCACCAAUACCUCUACAACUUCAGUAAAUUCCAUGCCUAGAAAGUAUGUCAAUUUUCCUAAAUCUGACAUUUCAAACUCACUCAUCAUCUGUGAUUUGAAUGCUUCUAUCUCAUUCAUAUCACUACCAAUCACUAUCAAAUCAUCAACAUAAAGACAGAUGAGUAGUUGAUUACCUUCACUUCCUUUCUUCACAUAUACACCAUACUCAGACUUGCAUUUAACAAAUUCUUGCUGCACAAGAAAGCUGUCAAUUCUCUUGUUCCAAGCUCUUGGUGCCUGUUUCAAUCCAUAGAGAGCUUUGUGUAAUCUAUACACCAUAUCCUCUUUCCCUUUGAUUUUGAAACCUGGCGGCUGUGUCACAUACACUUCUUCAUCUAAAGGACCAUUUAGAAAAGCAGAUUUUACAUCCAAAUGAUGCAUUGGCCAGUUUCUUCCACAAGCUAUAACAACUAUCAAUCUCACAGUUUCCAAUCUAGCAACUGGAGCAUAUACUUCAAAGUAAUCCAUACCAGCCUUCUGCAUGAAUCCCCUAACCACUAAUCUUGCUUUGUGCUUGGCUACUUCACCAUUUGGCUUCAGUUUCAAUUUGAAAACCCACUUCACAUCUAUUGGUUUCUUACUAGCAGGCAGUUCAGUCAACUUCCAUGUGUUGUUUCUGUUGAUUGAGUUCAACUCCUCAAUCAUAGCAUUCUUCCACACAUCUUCAUUCAAUGCUACUUCAUAGUUGAUUGGUUCUGCAUCUGCUAAUAGUGCAAAAUGAACAAAUUCUCCUUCUUCAUUAACUAUAUUAUCUGGAAUGACUUCAUGUCCAGCUAAUCUAGUUGAAGCAAAUCUCUGUCUCACUGAAGUUCUAGUGACUUGAUUCUCUUCAACAUGCACUUCAGGUUGAACUUCAGUAUCAAGUUGAACUUGUUCAACUUGAUCAUCAUCUUCAAUUAUUGUGGGAAUUGUGUGACUGGAACUCUUCUCUUUCUUAGUCCAAUCCCAUGCUUCAUUUUCACAGAUCUUUACAUCUCUACUAAUCACUAUAGAGUGAUUUAGAGGAUGAUACAAUCUGUAUGCACCUGUUUCAUGAUAUCCAACCAGUAUCAUAGGCUCACUCUUGUCCCCCAACUUCAUUCUCUUUGCAUCAGGGAUAUGCAUAUAGCACAAUGAACCAAAAACUCUCAAGUGUUUUGUUGACUGCUUGCAUCCUAACCAAAUUUCUUCAGGAAUUUGAUUAAGUUUCUUAGUGGAGCAUCUGUUUAAGAUGUAUGCUGCAGUUCUUACUGCUUCUCCCCAAAAUGUAUUAGACAUCUUCUUCAUCUUUAGCAUACUUCUGGUCAUGUCAAGCAGACUUCUAUUCCUUCUUUCAGCCAAACCAUUAUGUUGUGAAGUAUAAGGAGCAGUGACUUCAUGCACAAUGUCGUUGUCUUCACAAAACUUCUCAAACACCUUUGAGGUAUACUCACCACCACCAUCAGUUCUUAAAAUCUUAAUGGAUUUACCACUUUGUUUUUCAACUAAGAUUUUAAACUUCUGGAACAUAUCAAAUGCUUCACUUUUGGCCUUAAUCAAAUAUAACCAGAGUUUUCUGCUAAACUCAUCAACAAAACUGAUGAAAUAUUUGUUUCCCCUAAUGAAGGAACUUCUAAAGGACCACACACAUCUGAAUAUACAACAUUAAGUAGCUCCUUUGAUCUACUUGCUGAACUUGAACUGAAUGCACUUCUAGGUUGCUUUCCCAACAAGCAAGUAUCACAAACUGUGUUAGAUAUCUCAAUUUUAGGCACUCCCAGAAUCAUUUCUUUAUCAACCAAUUGGUUAAGACCUCUAAAAUUGAGAUGACCAAAUCUAUAGUGCCAUAACCAGCUAUCUUCAUCUUUUACCAUAGCAGAUAAACAGUUCAAUUCUACAACUUUCAUAUUGGUCUGAAAAGUUCUAUUCUUUGCAAGAGGAGUUUUCAAAACUAACCUUUGAUGAUUAUCAAACAACUUAAAGGUGUUGUCCUUCAUAGUAACUGAGUAUCCUUUAUGAAUGAAUUGACCUACACUCAGCAAGUUGCACUGCAUUCCAGGAACAUAGAGAACUUCUUCAAUUAUUGCCACUUUCCCAUUCUUUCCUUCAAUAGCAAUGUUCCCCAUUCCUUCUGCAACUAAGACUCUAUGAUCUGCAAGUUUCACCUUUGUGUUUCUUCUAGAAUCCACUUCUCUUAACAAUGUCUGAGUUCCAGUCAUAUGAUUAGAACAACCAGUAUCUAAGAACCAACUUUCUGAAUUGGAGCUCUCAUUACUAGUUGUUGUAACCAUCAUGAAUAAUGACUCAGAAUCUGAAUCAUCUUGAGCAAUUUUGGCUUCUUCUUCAUCAUUCUUUGAUUGCUUUCCUUUACUAGACCAACAUUCAAAGGCAUAAUGUCCAAAUUUCUCACAUUUGAAACACUGAAUCUUCUUCUUAUCAACUUUCUUCUUUUGAUUAGAAUUUCCUUCCUUUGAAGAUUCACCUUUGUCAGAUCCAUUGUUCUUGCCUUUAGACCAGUUUCCUCCCUUAGAGUUUUUCUUCCCUUUCUUGAAGUUCUUCCUAUCAUAAUCAUCCUUCUUGAUAGUUUGAACUUGCAGGGCUUGUUGAAUUGAUUUUUCAUUGCUUCUUUCUGAAACCAUCAAUUCAUGAGCUUCUAAUGAACUCUGCAGCUCCUCAAUCUCCAAUGUCUUAACAUCUUUUGAUUCCUGAAUUGCUACCAUAAUGAAAUCAAACCUUGAAGAUAGGGUCCUCAUAAUCUUUUCAACUAUCUGUUGAUCAGUGAUUGCUUCACUACAAGCCUUCAUCUGAUUCACAAGAUUGAUGAGUUUAGAGAUGUAUUCAGAAAUCUUCUGAUCAUCUUCCAUUUGCAUCAGUUCAAAUUUCCUUCUCAGUGACUGAAGCUUAAUCAAUUUCACUUUAUCAUCACCUUCAUGGUACUUUGAAAGAAUGUCCCAUGCUUCCUUUGAACUCAGUGAUUUUGAGAUUCUUUCAAAGUUUCCUUCAUCAAGACUUUGUUGAAUCAAGAACAGAGCCUUGCAAUCUUUCUUCUUCAAUUCCUUGUGUGCGUUCCUUUGUACUUCAGUGGCAUUCGCAGCUAAUUCACCUACACCAUUCUGCACAAUUUCAAGCAAAUCUUGUGCUCCAAACAGAUUCUUCACCACUGCACUCCAUCUUUCCCAAUUGCGUGCUUCAAGAAUUGGAAGAUGUGUGUUGAAACUGCUGCUACCAUUCAUGGUGUUUCCUUCAGCGUUUCUUCCUACAAAUUGCGUGAUUGAAGAUCUUGAUAACCCCUUAGAACGAAACCAAAGGCACUUGAUGCCAAUUUGAUAGCGCAGAAAACCAGAAGCGGAAGCUUGUUCAGAAGCUCUGUUUAGAAGCAGUUUUAGAAGCAGUUUCUGAUUCUAAGGUUUUGUGAAUUAGAGAGAGAAUUGAGAGAGAAGAAAAUUAUGAUGAAAUUGUAGUUGAUUCUUAUUGAUUCUACAUAUGAAAAUGUACAAAGGAGGUAGCUUAUAUACAAUAUCUAACCACAAACAAUGUAAUAAACUCUAGAUCUUAUCUACUAGCCUCUAACAAACUUGUAACAAUCUUCAUAACAAACUAAAACAAAAUGUGAUUAAUCUCUGAUUGUGAUUAUCACUAAACUAAACUUGAAUUAAAACAAACUAACAAGAAGAAACAUAUGGAACAAUCGCAUUAUUUCAAGUCCAUAUUCCAUUACACACCUUCAGUUAAUGCUUAAAGCAUUAUGUUGUAGUGUGUCUUGGUUAAAAUAAUCUAUGGCAGCAACCAUCUUGUGCAGAAGUUUUGGUUAGAAAGGAACCAGAUGGGGAAGAGAAAAGGAAAGGAACGUGAUUUUGUGUAGCAAGGUAAACUUGUUCUCAUUUUUAAUUUUCAACAAAAUCUAAACGUUAAUUAAAUCUAACGUUAUUUUAUUCAUAGUCCACCGGUGAGGAACUUAAUUGAACCCUCACCCUAGAAUCCACCAAUUUUUUAAUUUUAAAAACAAUUUUCAGAAUUUUUAUUUUUUAAAAAAUUUAAUAUUAUGUGGCAUGUCUCGUCAGCGCCACGUGGCAAAAGUUGCAUAGUCAACAAUUCCCACGUGGCCAAAACCAUGCCAAAUCAGCUGAAUAGUGGGGCCAAGGACCUUUUUCAAACAAAAAAAAAUUACAGGGAUGUAUUUCAAUUUUUUUUUUUACAGGGACCAAAAUCAAAACUAGGCCAAAUCACAAGGACGAUUGUCAUAUUUAAACCUUUAAUUUUUUUGUUAAUCACUUCCAAUCCUAACUAAUUUCCUAUAUUUUUAAAAUAAACAAACCAAUUUAUUAACAUGAGUAUCGAUGAGUUUGUUUGCAAUUUUUUUUUUGAAGUUACGAAUAAAUUGAGAUUAAUUAUGAAAUUUUGCUGGCAAUUGAUUUUUUUAUAGUGGUAAACGCAAAAUGGCGAUAUAGGGAAUCAGUUAGAUUUGGAAGUGAUAAAUAUGCAAAAUCAUGAUAUAAAGGGAAUUAGUUAAGCUUGGUAUAUAAACCAAAAAAUAAUUAUUUUUCAAAAAAGGAAUAUGUUAGUUUUUUUAUAGUGGAAGUAGUGGAAAUAUUGAGCAUUAGUUUUAGGCUUGGAAGUGGUGAACUAUUUUUUUUAAUUAAGUAUAUAAAAUGAAGGGAAUCAGAUGAUAAGGAGAAGAAAGAAACAAAAUGGCUUUUUUAAUUGAAAAAAAGAAAGGGAAUUAGUUUUAUGAUUGGAAGUGAUAAACAAAAUAAAUUAUGUAUAUAUAUAUAUAUAUAUAUAUAUAUAUAUAUAUAUAUAUAUAUAUUAAAUGGAAUUGAAUAAUAAGGAGAAGAAAGAGGAAAUUAAUUGGCUUUUUUAUUUGGAAAAUAUAUGGAAUUAGUUUUAGACUUUGAAGGAUAAACAAAAAAAAUAAAGGUUUGUUUAGUGUUUCACCAUAUGACUAUUAGUAAAUUUUAUUGCUCGCUAUUAAAGGUUUGUUCGUUUGUUUAAAAGUUUCGUUAGUUUUUUAUUUGUAAAAUAACCAUUAGGCCAAUAAAAUUAAGAACAUUAUAAGUUUAAUUAAUUUUUUAUGAAAUAAAUUUAGAAAAACUAAUUAUUCCCACAGGACAACCAUUUUUUCUCAUCUCUUAUGUCAUAGAUAUAGGAAAACAGUUUAUGUUCAUCUCUUUUAAUCUCACUAAUUCACAUAUAAAAAUAAAAUGAAAAAUAUGUAAUAUAAACACUAUAUUUAUAUUGAUGUUUUAAAAAUAGUCAUGUGUUUUCAAAAUUUUAUCAUAUUAAAACAUAAAAAUUUACUUACGCAAAUAUAAACACAUAAAAUCUGCAACAAGUGCAGUGCAAAUAUUUAAAGGUGAUUUGAAUAUAAAAUAAAAUAUAUUUAAUAGAAACACUACAUUAAUGCCAAUCUUUUUUGUUGAAGAAUUUAAUGUUGAUAUGUUGAAAAUAGUCAUAAGUUUUCAAAACUUUCUCAUAUUGACACAUAAAAAAUGGCUACCGCACAUAUAAGCACAUAAAAUCCGCUACGGGUGCGGUUGUAAUAUGUAACGGUGUUUUGCAAAUAAAAUAAAAAAUAUUUAAUAUAAACUCGACAUUAAUUUUGAUAUUUUGAAAAUAACGACGAGUUUUCAAAACUUUAUCAUGUUGGUACAUACAAUUUACCUCUGUAGAUAUAAACACAUAAGAUUGGCAACGGGCGCAGUUUAAAUAUGUAACAGUGCUUUGCAUAUAAAAUAACAAAAUAUAUUUAAUAAAAGCACUACAUUAAUGUUGAUUUUUUGAAAAUAAUCAUAGUUUUAAAAUUUUAUCAUAUCGAAUUUCUCAUACCAAUACAUUUUUUAUGCAUUUCAUAUCACUUCAUAAAAAUUUGUUUUUGUAGAUAUAGUUAAAUAAAAUCUACAAUUUGUGCAUCGCAAAUAUUUACCGAAUUUUUGCAUAUAUUUUUUUAAUAGAGACAUUACAUUAAUGGUGAUAAUUUUCAUUUAUAAACAUUUCACAAUAUUACUAAUGUAAUUAUUUUUUAUAUUUAUGCGAGCUGUGCGAAUGAAGGAGUCUUUUACUUGUUAUUUGAAAAAAUUUAAAAUUAUGUGAGGGGAUUAUGGGGUUGAGUUAUUUUACACACAAAAAAAAUACAGAAUUGGAUUAAAACCGAAAACCAAAACUUAAUCUACCUUCAGAUAAAAUACCUACUUGACAUCUCUUAUGUACCUUAACAUUCCUUCUUGAUUAACAAAGUGAACUUCAAAACUUUAAUUGAAAGAGUUAUCAACAACGUGGAAUUAUGAUAAAGAAUGUUCAAACAUUAAUCCCAGCUAACCUUUAUUAUCUGCCUAUAAGAAAACAACAAUGAACACAAGACACUCAUACACUUAUUUGUUUAUUUUGCAAAUGUCUGUUUGGUGAAUGCUGAACUGUUCAGGAUAUAUAUCUCGCAUUUCCCAUUUCACAUUUGGUUCGUUGCUAUUCACUAUUUUUAUUUUCAUUCUAGAUUUCCAAUGGUUAUUGGUGCAUGAUCAUUCAAUAGCAUUAUUCUUGAUAUUGCAAUUGAAGAGAUAACAAGUCUAUUUGGUUCAAUGGGAAAUUGUAGAUUAAAUUUUUCCACAAUUUUAGGGAGAAAGUUUAGCCACGUUGAAAUGUGGUUAGCUAAUUUGUCAAGAUUUUAACAUCUUUGGAUUCUAGAAUCCAAACCGAAAACAAGUGUUGCCACACAUUUAAAUUUUAGGAUCCAAACAUCUUAUUUACAUGCUUCAAACCUUUCUUGAGUCAAAAAUAAAUUUCAUAUUUUUUUCUUAAAUUUUUAGCACAAAAGAGGUUCGAAGUAUUUAGAUGACGUGUUCAAAUCUAAAUAUUUGAAUGACUCGGUUUAUAUAUGUUUUUUUUCUCUCCAUAAAUUACUAGCAUAUGAGAGAUUCGAAACAUGUAAAAAGAGUUUAUAUUAUAAAAUUCAAAUUAUUUUCGAAUAACUUUUGUUCUAUUCAUGUAAAAUUUCUGAAGAAAGACAAUUAGUCACCGUAAAACCGCAGCUAAAACAAUCAUGAUUAUUUGUUUUCUCUUUGAAAAUGACGGAAAAACAUAUUUCAAAUUUUAAAAUAAAAAAAAAUUCAGACUGAAUUUUGAGUUUCUAAAGAGCGCACAAAAAGGAUGAUGCUAUAAGAAAUUAUGUACUUAUAUAGCCCAGUCAAUGCCGUGGGAUGCAAUGUCUGAAUUUUAUUUUAUUUCCCAAAUGAAAGUGGAUAGUACUUGCAACUUUGUAUUGUUUUUCCUUUAAUAGUUGAGUUGAUGUAAUUAAUGUGAUGGAACAAUUGAAUUGUUCAACUCAUCGUAAUGUUUAAGAACCACUUGGCCACUUUUUAACCAAAACUUACGUGGACUUUAUGAUAUUGUCAAGUAUAUAUAUAUAGAUGGAUAAAGCUAACUCAAGCUAAUAGACAAUCAUUCAAAUUUCACUCCUUUCUAGUUUCAAGCUAAUUCUUUCUGCUUGCUGCAAACAUGUGUGAGUUCAAUUUCUUUCACUUCAACUCUUUUCUUUAUUUGUUUCAUAUAAUGCUCAAAAGAAGUAAAAGCAUAACUCUGAAUUUUUUAUUUUGUCAUAAGUUAAUCUAUAAACAAAGCUGAAAUUAUGCUGAUUUAGAUGUUUCUAUUAAUAUAAAUUUGCAGCAGGAAAAAACCCCUAUGCUGUUGCUCAGUAUGGUUGUCUUCUUGUAAAUCAUGCUGUAAAGAAGGUGGUAGAUGAAGUUGAUGGAAAUAAAUCUGUAUCUGAUUGGUUUAGCAAAGGCUAUAUGAAAGUUGAAAGACAAAAGAACAAACUCUAUUCAAAUCGCGAUCGUGUGCAUGCAAAAGUUGAAGCAAUUGAUCCUAAAACUGAAAAGGUCAGAGAUGUUGUGUUUGAGUGGCUAAAAAAAACAGACAUAAUCAUACAAGAAGUGGAGAAUCUUGCAGUACAAUCAAAACCACCAUCAUGGAUUGAAUUUAAUAAUUUGCAGGAAAACAUUAAAGCACUAAAUAAGAAAUGUAAUUUUGAUCCAUUUUCAAUUAUAAUUCCAAGUUUAGAACACUUCUCUUUAGGAAAUAAUUUUGAGUGUUUCAAGUCGACAGAGAAGGCUUCAGAUGAACUUUUGGAAGCACUGCAAGAUGAUAAUUGUCGUAUAAUAGGAUUGUACGGUAGGCGUGACUCUGGUAAAACUACAUUGGUGAGAGUAAUGGGUGAGAAAGUCAUGUUUUUAAAUAUUUUUGAUGAGAUUUUAUUUGUCAAUGUGACCAAAAACCCAAAUAUCACAGCAAUGCAAGAUGAAAUUGCUGACUCCUUGAAUAUAAGAUUUGAUAGAAACAGUGAAGCUGAAAGAGCAAGAAAAAUAUUAUCCACAAUAGAAAAUAUGGAUCAUCCUAUACUUGUGAUCUUUGAUGAUGUUCGGGCAAGAUUUGACCUACGGGAUGUAGGAAUUCCUUGUACUAGUAAUCUAUGCAAGGUUCUUUUGACCGCACGUAGCCAAAAAUAUUGUGACUUAAUGCAUUGUCAAAGGGAGAUUUUACUUGAUUCAUUAUCUACAGAGGAAGCUUCGACUUUGUUUGAAAAACAUUCAGGCAUUCUCGAAGAGGAUCACUCCUCCUCAUUUGACUUAUUGAAUGUGGCACGUGAAGUUGCUUUUGAAUGUGAUAGGUUACCAGGAAAAAUCAUUAAGGAAGGGUCUUCCUUAAGAAGUAAAUCAUUGGAAGAAUGGGAAAAAUCACUAGACAAUUUGAGACAUUCAACGGAUCAAUGGCAGAUGUUCCUCAGUUUUAGAGGGGGGGAUACUCGCUACUCCUUUACAGGUAGUCUUUUUCAAGCUUUAUCCCAAGGGGGAUUCAAGAUUUUCAUGGAUGAUAAAGGAUUGCACACUGGAGACCGAAUUUCACAUUCUCUUCGAAAUGCAAUUGAAGCAACAAGACUUUCAAUUAUUGUUUUGUCUGAAAACUAUGCAAAUUCCACAUGGUGUCUUGAUGAACUUGUGAAGAUUCUUGAAUGUAAGAAAUGGAAUAAUCAAUUAGUUUGGCCAAUCUUUUACAAAGUAGAGCCAUCAGACAUAAGGCAUUUGAGAAAAGGUUAUGGCAAAGACAUGGCUCAACAUGAAAAAAAGUUUGGAAUAGACUCGGAGAGAGUACAAAAAUGGAAGUCAGCUUUGCUUGAAGUUUCUAAUUUGUCUGGAAUGACUUACGAGACUGGAUAUGAAUAUGAAUUUAUCCAAAAGAUUGUGGAAGAUGCCAAUAAUAUUAAAAGUCGUUUGCAAAUACGAAACAUAUAGAAAAUUGAUUUGGUUGGCAAUCGUUUUUGGAUUUUCGAAUGAUCUAAAAGUUGUUCUUAUGUCAAGGAUCUAACGGUGGUCCUUAUUUUGGAUGUAAAUUUGCUUUGUUAAUUGUACAGUUUUGCAUUUACAGUCUCUCUUGUAACUUUGUGACUCAGGUCCUUUUAGGCUGUUGUGAUGUCUCCUCCGAUAGACCGGAUCUUGAGUGGUGGUGGAACCUGAACGUUUGAAGUAAAAUCACUAUUGAGGACCUAAUUGAUCACUGUUGGCGGUGUUGGUGGUUUUUCUUUGAAGGGUUUUUGGUGUUUUUAUUUUUUCAUUUUGGUGUAAUAUUGGGAUUUAAUCUCCUUAUAUAUAUAUAAUAUAUAUUUUGCCAUUAAAAAAAAAAAAACAAAGUCUCUCUUGCAACCAGAUUAAAUUGCCUCUUUUUUAUUACAUGAUUGAAUUCCCUCUUGUAAGUUAAUAGAUUUACCAAAUUAUACAUCGAGAAAGAAUAUAUUGACCCUUAAUAGAGAGACUCAUCAUCAUUAUCAUUCCUAUGCCCAACUCCUGAAGGCAUGAGUACCGUUUACAAUCCUCUGCUGACCGUGAUCGAAACUGGCUUCACGGAAUUCUGAACAUUUUGUUUGUGGAUUUAUGUACCUGUAAACAACAAUGAUGUAAGGAUCCAAUCUUUCAUUAAAUUUCCAUUAAAUCGGGCUUAGAGAUUAAAAUAAAGGCUAAACUAUAAAAGGCGUAUCGAAUGUUCAUAAGCAUGAACAUGACCAGCAAGAACUAAAUCAACACUGGCAGCAUAAAGGAAUGGCUCCAUGACUGUCAUCAUAUCAUCCCCUGCACUUUGGUGUCAUAAGUUGUUUCAACAAAUUUCCAUAAUCUCUCCAAGUUAGUUUAUGAUAGCAGCUUAUAACUUAUAUGAAAUACAGUUUGGCUUGUUUUAUCUUUCGUUAAAGAGAUAACUUAUGUUCUGUUGCCGUGAGUUUAACUCAGUUGAUAAGGACAAUGCAUGUUUCAAAUCUUAAACACCACAAAAAAAAGAAAUAACCUAUGAAAUGUCAAAUGUGCCUUUUUUUUUUUUUUUUUUUUGCUUUUAUGUUUUAGUCCAUAGCUGGAGUUGGACAUAUAAUGUUGUAUUUUGUUCUUUUGUUUGUAUCUUGUUACUUUGUUCCUCGACUACUCACAUCUUGUGGUGUUGAAGCUAAUAAAAUUAUUAGCCGAUUAAAAAUGAAAUAAAAUGUUGUUAGUUAUGAUUGAGUACUUUGAUAUUGCUAAUCAUUGUCUUACUUAUUUUUUUCUUCUUUCCAGCCAACAAAUUUAGAAUCAGCAAGAGAUGGUAGAGGUUCAUCUGAGUCCAAAAGAAUGUCUCAUUUUAAUGUGUAAUUUUACUAUAUUAACGAAGCGUUAAUGCUUUUUUUUCUCUCUUUCAAUUAGUGCAAUUUCUCCCUUUCAAUUUCUUCUAAUUUAUUUUUCUACUAACACAGAUGAAUGAUAACUUUGUAAAAUACACUAUACAUAAAAUAUUGUUCAAAUAUCAUGGUUCCUAUUCGAUAGCAUAUAAAUCUCCCAAAUGUGAACAUCUAUGUAGCUACACCGUUGCUUUAUGGACUAGUUUAGUAAAAACUUCAAAAUUGCUUUAUGGACUAGUUUAGUAAAAACUUCAAAAUUUUACAAUAAAAAAACCUGAAGUAAAAACGGGUUAAAGUUUUGUAAGUCCAAUAGGAAUUAAGUUUCUAGAAUCAAUAAUUAUAGUUUUUUUAUUUCCCAAAUGAAAGUGAUCCGUAAUUGUCUCACAACUUGCAACUUUUUUUUAUUGCUAAUUGGAUUUGUAUUAUUCAAUUAAGAACAACAAUUGGGUUUGGGUUGAAUUAUUCCCAUUUAUAAAAAAUAAAUACACUUUCAUGAAUCAUCAUGUAAAUCCCUCAAAAAAAAAAAAAAAAAAAGAAGAAUCAUCAUGUAAUAAAAUAAGGGUCUUCUUUUCUUGGUCUAAAAUAAGGGUCUUUAAUGAUAUUAAAUUUAGAAUAUUAUUUCAAAAAGGUAAAUAUUAUAAAUUUCACGGGGAAGGAGCAGUGGUGGAAACUGAACCACCAAAACUACCGAAAACGAAUUCUUGAGAAGCGGAAGAACGUGAAAUUUCUGAUGCGGAAGCUUCAAGAUCUUCUUCUUCAUCACCAUUGGAAUUGUUGAGAUUGUCUUCAAAUUUGUGGUCUGGAAGAACAGGGAAAUCGUGCCACGAUUUUGGAAUCGUGACACGAUUGGAGGUGCCGUGAGCUAGGGUUGCAGGGUGCAAAUUCGUGACACGAUUUGGGAAAAUCGUGACACGAUCGUGAAACUUGCUCGUUAAGUAUCCUUGAUAAGGACUGGUCGUUCCUUGGGACGGACGCAAAUCGUGACACGAUUGGGAAAAUCGUGACACGAUUGGAACAGAGGAAGACUAGUACUUAAGUGUUCUUGUGCAGAUUUGAAGAGAGAGGUUGGAAGAGAGAGACUUGGGAAAUCAAAGGGGAAGCUCUAGGGUUUAGGGUUCUUUGAUUAGAGUAUCUCUCGGGUUGAAAACAUGGGAAACACCUUGUAGAGAGAAUCAUUGAGUGUCUUGGUGAGAUUGGGAAAGGGGUAGAAAUUAGGGUUUGUUCAUAGUGAACUUGUCAAACUAAUUUCUUGUAACCUCUUGUAUCCCUUUUGUAAAGAACUCAUUUGAUAGUGGAUUGGAGAGUUCAAACUCUCCUCCAGAGUAGGUCAAGUUUGGACCGAACUGGGUGAACAAUCUCUUUGUGUUUAUUGUUUUCUUCUUCCCUCCUUGUUUAUCUUGUGAUUGUUGCUUUGUGUUUCACACUUGGUUCCUAGAUUAGAUCUAGGUGGUGUUUUGUUGUUUCUUGCUUGCACAAUAAACUUUGUUUGGUGGUUACCACUCUCCGUCGCUCCACACAUCAUUAUUCUUUGUAUUGGUGUGGUUCGAUCCGGCCUUGGAGGCUCGGGGAUUCACAACAAUUGGCGCCCACCGUGGGGCAACGGUAGUGAUUUGGUUUAGUGUGUACCAUGGGUUCAAAGUGAGAUAUUGAGAAGUUCACCGGGCUCAACGAUUUUGGGUUGUGGAAGGUGAAGAUGCAAGCGGUGUUGAUUCAACAAAAGUGUGAGAAAGCUUUGAAGGGUGAAGGUGCGUUGCCGGACACCAUGUCACAAGAGGAGAAGACCGAGAUGGUGGACAAGGCGAGGAGCGCCAUUGUCUUGUGCCUCGGGGACAAAGUUUUGAGGGAUGUCGCGAAGGAACCAACCGCGGCAUCGAUAUGGUCUAAGUUGGAAUCGUUGUAUAUGACCAAGUCGUUGGCUCAUAGACAAUUCCUUAAGCAACAACUCUACUCAUUCAAGAUGGUGGAGUCAAAGACCGUGAUGGAGCAAUUGGCGGAGUUCAACAAGAUCCUCGACGGUUUGGAGAACAUUGAGGUGCAACUUGAGGACGAAGACAAGGCUAUACUCUUGUUGUGUGCUCUACCGAGAUCAUUUGAAUCCUUUAAGGAUACCAUGCUCUAUGGCAAAGAAGGCACUGUCACCUUGGAAGAAGUUCAAGCGGCUUUAAGAACCAAGGAGUUGACCAAGUCCAAGGACUUGAGAGCGGAUGAAAACAGUGAAGGCCUUAGUGUGUCAAAAGGAAAUGGUGGAGGUAGAGGCAGCCGAGGAAGCUCAAAGAGCGGAAACAAGGAUAAGUAUAAGUGUUUUAAGUGUCACAAGUUGGGACACUUCAAGAGGGAUUGUCCGGAGGAAGAUGAUAGCUCCGCGCAAGUUGUGUCCGAGGAGUAUGGAGAUGCGGGUGCUUUGAUGGUGAGUUGUUGGGAGGAAGGUGAAGGUGAGGGUUCUCACCUUGGAGUUGAUUCCUUGUAGACGGUAUGGUUCGUCUGGAGAGACGUUAAACACUCAACGUCAGCCUGGAGAGGCGGUGGUGAGAAUACUCAUGGUUAGUUUGGAGAGGCGGUGAUAACAAUACUCGUGAUCAACCUUUGAGGUGGAGUGGCAAGGCGGAAGCAUAGUGGAAGUACGCAUUUGGAAGUUGAGGCAGAGAAAGCUCAACUUGAGGUGGAGUUGGUAACUCCGGGAAUGUUACGGCUAUGGAGGCUUUGGGAGUUUAUGCUCUAGUGGUGAGCAUGUGGAUUCUUCAUGAGGACGGAAGGUAUUCCGGGGUUUGAAGAAUGUAUGGGGUGACUUGUGUGAUUGCCUAAAAGACCAAGGGUGAUCGGAUGCAAGGUGAUCUUCGAGGAGGCGGGAGACGUUCCGUAGUUGAAGAUGGUUUGGUGAAGACUUGUGGAGCAACUUGGUGUAGAGUUGGAUGCAAGGGAAAAGAAAGGGGUGGUUGAUGGUUAAAGUGGCAUCAUCACCAAAUUAGAAGUCAAGGUGGAGAAAUGUUGAGAUUGUCUUCAAAUUUGUGGUCUGAAAGAACAGGGAAAUCGUGCCACGAUUUUGGAAUCGUGACACGAUUGGAGGUGCCGUGAGCUAGGGUUGCAGGGUGCAAAUUCGUGACACGAUUUGGGAAAAUCGUGACACGAUCGUGAAACUUGCUCGUUAAGUAUCCUUGAUAAGGACUGGUCGUUCCUUGGGACGGACGCAAAUCGUGACACGAUUGGGAAAAUCGUGACACGAUUGGAACAGAGGAAGACUAGUACUUAAGUGUUCUUGUGCAGAUUUGAAGAGAGAGGUUGGAAGAGAGAGACUUGGGAAAUCAAAGGGGAAGCUCUAGGGUUUAGGGUUCUUUGAUUAGAGUAUCUCUCGGGUUGAAAACAUGGGAAACACCUUGUAGAGAGAAUCAUUGAGUGUCUUGGUGAGAUUGGGAAAGGGGUAGAAGUUAGGGUUUGUUCAUAGUGAACUUGUCAAGCUAAUUUCUUGUAACCUCUUGUAUCCCUUUUGUAAAGAACUCAUUUGAUAGUGGAUUGGAGAGUUCAAACUCUCCUCCAGAGUAGGUCAAGUUUGGACCGAACUGGGUGAACAAUCUCUUUGUGUUUAUUGUUUUCUUCUUCCCUCCUUGUUUAUCUUGUGAUUGUUGCUUUGUGUUUCACACUUGGUUCCUAGAUUAGAUCUAGGUGGUGUUUUGUUGUUUCUUGCUUGCACAAUAAACUUUGUUUGGUGGUUACCACUCUCCGCCGCUCCACACAUCAUUAUUCUUUGUAUUGGUGUGGUUCGAUCCGGCCUUGGAGGCUCGGGGAUUCACAACAGGAAUCAUCUUCGUCAUCAGAAACUGGAUCAAAAUCGCUAUCUCCAUAGCGCUCUGAUACCAUGAUAUGAAUCAAAGGAUUACAUUGUUCUAGGUCAAAUGCAAUGGAAAGAUAAAUUGUGUAAUUCUCUCUAGGAAUCAUUACUAAGAAACAAUUGUAAAAAAGAUAAUGAAAUAGUAUAUAGGUGUAGCUUAUUUAUAGUGACUUGGAGUACCUAACUCCCUAACUAACUUUCUACAUAGAUAACUUACUCUCCAAGAUAUCUUCUUCACUAUACUCUAAUAUCUACUACUAAACUACAAAAAAAUCGUACUCUAAAUUUUUAUUUUUUUAUAACUAUCUUCGAUUAAACUCAAAAUCUUCUUAAUUUUUAUGGGUCCAAUCACCAUUUUCCAAAAUAAAAAAAUAACUUAUUUAUUUUUUGAAAAUUUAUUUCAUGGGAUGCAAUGUUAGAAUUUUUUUUAUUACCUAAAUGAAAGUGAUACGUACUUGCAACUUUCUAUUGUGAUUUUUUGGUAAUGCUAUUUGGAUUUGUUAUUCUAAUAAUAAACAACUCUGCAUUGUUUGGGUUGACUUCUAUAGUAUACUAUAAAAAAAUGGUACUCCACCAAAAUUUUAUAAUCAUCUUCGGUUAAACUCAUAAUCUUGUUAAUUUUAUGGGUCCAAUCGUCAUUUUUCAAUAUAAUAAACUAACUUAUAUAUUUUUUGAAAAUUUAUUUUAUAAGAUGGGAUGCAAUGUCAAAACUUUUUUUAUUUCCCAAAUGAAUGUGAUAUGUACGAUCCCAACUUGCAACUUUUUAUUGUUUAAUGCUACUUGGAUUUGUUAUUCAAAUAAAAAAUAACCCAAGGAAUUGCUUGGGUUGACUUUAUUUAAAAAAUUAAAAUUAUGAGAGGGGAUGUGGUUGACUUUUUUUCACACGUGAAAUGACCUUCUAUUUUCUUAAUGCCUCUAAUUAGAUCACAAACCUGCGUUACAUAAACGAAUUGACUUAUUUUACACACAUAUAUAUGUUGCUAACUUAGACCAACCUAAAAACAUUAAGGACUAAGUUAGCAAGUGUGUAUUUUUUAUUUAGACAAAAACACUCAUUUGUUACUUGUGUGAGGAAGCAAGAUAGGGCCACCGACGAUUUUUCAAUAACAUUAUGAUCGCACCAAUGAUCAACAUUAAACCAUUAUCUUUUUACUUUAGUCUUGGAUGUACUUACAUAACAUAUUCAAGAGCUAGCACUGAGAUGUAUGCUUUUAUACAGAUCAUGUAAUCAUACUUGAAGAGUUGAGGGAGGAAUUGAACGGAAGAUUGGAGACAUAGAGACAAGCCUUAAAAGCGUAUAGCUUCUACCUAAGACAAAGUACAUGAAAUGUAAUUUCAACAAAUGACAAUAUUUCUACUUUAGAAGUAAAAGUUGGAGAUCUAAUUAUCAUCCCACAAGUUACACAAUGUAAAUACUAUGGGUCCAUGGUACAAAUCGACGAAGAAAGAGAAACAUAUGUAAAUCAUUGAAUUCGAGUUGGGUGGUUGAAAAUAAAAUGUGCAUUGAUAAUAAAAAGUCGUUUGUCCCCGUGAGCAUAGCUCAGAGACAUGCAUUAUUAUAUGCAGCGGCUGGGGUUCGAACUCCGGACACCCCACUUAUUCACCUUAAAAAAGGUGAAUUCUAGCCACUAAACUACUUAAUAAAAUAAAAAAUGGUUUUGAAUUUUUACCAAAAUAAUAUACCAGUUUAGAAAUUUUCAUAUUUGUGGCUUUAUAAUCCAGUUCAUGAUUUUUUUAGGGGAAUUCAGUUCGUAAUUUUUUUUUUUUACGGGAUUCGGUUCAUAAGCAUAAAAUUAGACAAAAUUUGUAUUUAUAUCUAUAACUAUAGUAUUAAUAAGAGGAUACAAUAAUGUCAAAAUAAAAUAAAAAUGAUGAUGAUAAAUAAUUUUUUUUUCAAGUAGUUUAAUGGUUAGAAUUUCACCACUUAAGGUGAAUAAGUGAAAAAUACAGAGUUCAAAACUUUCACAUAUAUAACAUAAUAUCCCUAUCGACUGAGUUAUAUUCAUGAUAAUAAUUCCUUUUUUAAAACUAUAAGAAUCUUAAUAUUAUAAAUUAUCAAAUAAAAUUUUACAAUUGUUUUUUAUCUAUAAAAGUGGAAAGACAGACAUGUUAAUACAUAUAUAUUGAAGCUAGUUUGAAUAAUAAAAAUGCAAAUUAAGUUAUUGUCAACUUGUUAUUGUCAACAUGGUAUUUCCUAGCUUCCAUAUCUUUGAUGAAAAUCCAACAUGUAUCAUUAAUUUAAUUUUUAAUGAAAAGAUAUAAGUUAUUUUUCCUAAAAGAAAAACUUAGUAUUUGAAUUCAAAUACUAAGUUGAUAGGGUUCGAAUCCCGGUCACCCCAAUAAAAAAACUGUAUGCAGCUAAUAUAUGCAAAGUUUCUGACCACCACAAAAAAGCUAAUACUCCCUCCGAUCCUUUAUACAAGAAACAAAAGACAUAAAACAUCAAGACCAAAGAUAUACAUUGAAAAUAGUCAUCUUCAUUUAAUACACUUCUACAUUUAAAAAAUAAUCCAUGAAUACCCCUAAAUUAAUUCCUCUUUAUUCCACUAACUUAUUUACUUUUAAUUUUCUCUCUCAUAAUAAAUAAGGGCACAAAUGAAAUUUAGCUUCAAACAUACUUGAAACUUGGUCAAUCUUCUUCUUAUAAAAAGGACCAAAAAAAUUCUCACUUUUGUUUCUAAUAAAAAGGACCGGAGGAAGUACAUUUGAAUCGUUUAAAAUUGAACAAUUUAGAAUUUAAGCAUUUGGUUUGCUUUUAAUUCUGAAAUUCAAAAUUAAAACCUAAAAUGUUCAAUCAUGAUCGAACGAUUCUGAUGUACUCCUAGUUAACAAGUAACAACAUUGUACUCACGUGCUCCCAGCUGGACACGACAAACUCAAUCCGUCAACUAGGCUUGUUUGGUCAUUAAAGAAUGGUACUCCUCGUAGUACUUAUAUAUAUAUAAUUCAGCUCAUCAUAAUGUAUACAAAGCACUUAGCCACUUUUUAUAUUUAAAACCAAAUGGAGUAGUAGUUGAUGUAGUUAAUGCAAGGGAACAAUUGAAUUGUUCAACUUAUCGUAAUGUUUAAGAACCACUUGGCCACUUUUUAACCAAAACUUACGUUGACCUUAUGAUAUUCUCAAGUAUAUAUAUAGAUGUAUAAAGUAAACUACGAUCUCAAGCAAAUAGACAAUCAUUCAAACUUCACUCCUUUUUGGUUUCAACCUAAUUCUUUCUGCUUGCUGCAAAUAUGUGUGAGUUCAAUUUCUUUCACUUAAACUCUCUUCUUUAUUUGUUUCAUAUAAUGCUCAACAAAAGUAAAAUCAUAACUCUGAAUUUUAUUUUGUCAUAAGUUAAUCUAUAAACAAAGCUGAAACUAUGCUGAUUUAUAUGUUUCUAUUAAUAAAAUUUUGCAGCUGGAAGAAAACCCUAUGCUGUUGCUCAGUAUGGCUGUCUUCUUGUAACUCAUGCGGUAAAGAAGACGGUAGAGGAAGUUGAUGGAAAUAAAUGUGUAUCUGAUUGGUUUGGCAAAGGCUAUAUGAAAGUUGAAAGACAAAAGAAGAAACUCAUUUCAAAUCGUGAUCGUGUGCGUGCACAAGUUGAAGCAAUUGACAGUAAAACUGAAAAGGUUAGAGAUGUUGUGUUUGAGUGGCUAAAAGAAGCAGAAAUAGUCAUGCAAAAAAUGGAGAAUCUUAAAUUACAAUCAAAACCACCAUCAUGGAUUGAAUUUAAUAAAUUGCAGGAAAAAAUUACAGCACUAAAUAAGAAAUGUAAUUUUGAGCCAUUUUCAACUACAAUUCCAAGUUUAGAACACUUCUCUUUAGGAAAUAAUUUCGAGUGUUUCAAGUCGACGGAGAAGGCUUCAGAUGAACUUUUGGAGGCACUGCAAGAUGAUAAUUGUUGUAUGAUAGGAUUGUACGGUAGGCGUGACUCUGGUAAAACUACGUUGGUGAAAGUAAUGGAACAGAAAGUCCAAUAUUUGAAUAUUUUUGAUGAGAUUUUAUUUGUCAAUGUGACCAAAAACCCAAAUAUCACAGCAAUGCAAGAUGAAAUUGCUGACUCCUUGAAUAUAAGAUUUGAUAGAAACAGUGAAGCUGGAAGAGCAAGAAGAAUAUUAUCCACAAUAGAAGAUAUGGAUCGUCCAAUACUUGUUAUCUUUGAUGAUGUUCGGG